CCGCGGCGCGGGCGGCCGCCGACGACGGCCGCAGGCAGGCCGGCGCCGACGAGUCGCUCCGCAAGGCCAUGUACCUCAGCUGCUGGGGCCCCAGCUGAGAGGAUAAGGCCGUUUUGUGAAUGUGACGGGGCGGCGGAUGGGUGGGACAGGCGGUCGGUGUAGGGGCCUCGGCCUUUGCGGAUGCUCAAUGGCCGGACCGGGCCUGCUGGGGCCUUUGAUGAACUCGCGAUCGCGAGAUGCGUUGAGGGGUUCGGUGAUUUGGGAUUAACAUCUGGGAAAUUUGUGGGAUCAUCAAAAGGGUUACUGUACUGUAAUCUUGUACAUAUGCUUCCUGUAGAUAUCGAAUGGAACUAGGGAAAAAGAAAAAAAAAAUCUUUCGGCUACUUUCUCUCUGGAACUUUCGAUCGAUUAGUCAGAGCAAACGCUGUCGAGUUUGAGCGAUUAGAGCUCUCUGCCAAAGUGCCAAGUGUCCAGCGUCGAGCAACCAUGUCAAAACGAAGGGCGGGAGCGGAGUUCGUGUCGCUCCGGCCCGGGCAUCACAAAUUCACAAGGAUUUUGUAUAUAACAACUUUUUAAGUUCGUCGAUCAAUCACGUAGCCGGCAUCCUGAUGGAUCGGCACAGCAACGCGUUGAGUUGAGCCCGGCGCCGGCCGAACAGACUGCUACGAGCCCAUGACCAGGCAGCACUUCGGCGAACGCCGAUCUCGGCUUCAAACUCUGAAGUUCAGGCGGGUUCCGUUCCUACCGCAGAUAAUUUCAGGCAAGCAAGCGGCUCGAUGGACCGAUGGCCGGGCAGGGGACGGGACGUACGCGAUUACCCACACCGCACGAGGACGUCGCAGAGGUGCGCCUCCCGCCGCCCGAACAGGUCGCAGCUGCCCCAACCGUUGGCCGCACGGGUUCAGAGUUCAUCGGAGAAGUCGGCCGCACGGGCACCAACCGUUUUGGCGCAGAUCCUAAGGUCCGGUAAGGCCUGGCAACGCAGCCGCGAAUCCCCUAGUCGAUCACUCGCCGUCCUCUCCUCGAUUCGUCACCACUCACCCCGCGCGCAUCAUUCCUUCGCGAGCCGCGCGGCACCGGAGCUCGACACGGCGACAGGAUCGCACCGGGGAGAGCGAGGCAGCGAGCGCGAGGGACAUGCCGCGACAAGCGACGGAUAUGAUUGACUCGCGUCGGACAACGAUGCGGAGCUGGAGCCUGACGCGGUUGGCUUUUGGCCUGCGCCGGCUUUUUCACGUGGUGUCACGUGACGCUGGGCCACCGCGGUCGCGUCCCGGGACGGGUGGCGCGACGCGACGCGACCGAGUGACGGAAACGAAGCAUGGGCGAGAGAGAGGGCAAACGACGCGACGGGACCCCCACGCCGUGGUCUCCAGGACGCGUGCUCGCGGCCGGUGCAUGCACCGCGCGUGCGCCGUCGCUCCAGCUCCUGCAAUACGUCCGGAGAGCCAAGAGUGGGAGCAAGAUUGCAAGUCUGCAAGAGCAAGUAAGCAACUCUCACUCAGCGGCUGGCAUCAUGCGUGCCGUCAUUGGCGGAGGCCGGUGGCCGUAGCGGCUCUCCUUAUCUCCUACGUUCCUGGGCUGGCAGUGGCAGGAGUCGACGAAACUUGCGUUGGCAACGACUCCAACCGCGGCGUACGUUGAUCCGGCACACCACGUGCCCUCAAUUUAGGCGUCGUGGAGAGGGUUCUAUAGCGUGCCUACCGCCUAGCUCUAGCCGAACCGUAUACGAAUCGUUCCACAAGCUUCCAAUGCUCCACGAAGCAUAUGAUAGGAAAAGAGGGUGCAAGACCUCAGGCCUGAUGUAGUGAUGUUGUGUGGGAUCGAACCUACCUGGAAGCCUGGAUAACCAUGAUUUUUAUACGGUAUCAAAGUUAACAUGAUUCUGAAACUCCCAAUCCAUCCAACUAACGAACGAGUGAGAGAUUUUUAGAAGUAAUCUCUUCUCGUUUAUAAAGCCCAACAGGCUAUAGCCCAUGUGCUAUUUCGAAACUCCUACGCACAGCCAAGAAACACCACGUACCCAGAGAAAUAGGCCCAUAAAAGAGGUGGCACCCGCAGCCCAUUAACCACCACGCAUCGCGCGCGGAUAUGAGAAGCCCAUGCCCAUAUUCACAACAGCAGAAGAACUGAAGAAGUGACGAACAUCCUCCCAAAGAAUACCGACACUCCAACAGCCUCGACAUCAUUAGACCAUUACCUCCAAUCGCAAUAUAGUACGUGGUAGCAGUAGAGUAAAAGAAUACUGUGCUCAGGUUUGCAUCUAACCACCGUGCGAUAAUCGCCUACAAUACCCACGCCAAUCAAACGCUGCGUACAAAGAAUAUCACGCACGCCGCCGGCCGCACCACCAACGCGAGCCGUGCAUCACACAUCCACACAGCUCAGACGUUGUCGGGCAGGUCGAAGUGCUGGACGCCGAGCACCUGCAGCGCGGCGUUCUGGACGAAGAGGACAACGCCGCACUUGGCGGCGCGGAAGCCGUCCCAGAGCGGGAACUGGACGGUCCCGGACACGGACUUCUUCGCGGAGGCGCCCUCCCGCACCGCCGCCACCUUCUCCAGGCGGCGCACCACGUGGUCGUUCAGCAGCGACUUGCCCUUGUUCUCGCCGCGCCCGCAGUCCGUCACCAGCCCGCUCUCGUACAGCGCCACCAGCACGCUCGCGCCGCCGGCGCCCUCCACGCGGCUGCGCAGGGUGCCCGUGAACGACGCCUGCAGCGUCGUCGGGUUCGGCCGCUGGAACGUCGCCUGCACGUUACGUAACGUACGCGGAUCAGAUCAGAUCAGGUCGAGGUUUCAACGGUGCAUCUACAGUGACAUUGACACCGCAUCUACAGAACCCAUAUGUAUCCGGUAGAUAUGAAAUACUGUUCAUUGCAGAUCCGGCAUAAGAACAGUGGCUGAUGAGACGUUCCACAGCAACAGGCAAUCAGAUAUCCUGGUUGUCGCUUCUUAAAUUUGCAGACCGCUUUGAACACUUUCUACAUGGCAACAGGAUCGGAUGUGCAAGGAAGUUGUAAUUACAGUACCUUCAUGGCGGGCGCCGGGUAUCGCGGCGCGUCGCGGACGCCCUGCGCGAGCGCGUCCUGCUCGGUGCCGACGCAGUGCGCACGGCCCUGCACGACGACCUGCGGCGUGAAGAGCGUGUCGAGGCGGAGCGCCUCCACGUAGGCCUUCUGGCGCACGGUCCAAGCGCUGGACGCGAAGGGGUCCUUCCACCCGCUGUGGUCCCAGUAGUCCACGUGGAACGCCAGCACCACCACGGCCGGCCCGCCGCCGCCGCCUUCCUGCUGAGCCGCGGAAUCCUGCGCCAGCCGCGCCGCCACGGCGUCGGCCUCGGGCGACGCCCCGCACCCCUGCGACGCGAACAGCUCCAACAACACCGGCCCCGGGGCUACCUGCUGCUGCUGCUGCUGGUCCUCCUGCUCGUCCGGCGCCGACGCCGUCGCGCCGCCCCUCCGGCCAAAGCACGCCAGCAGCCGCGGCGCCAUCGAUGGUUGUAGGCUAGCUAGUAUCUGCCUUAGCUAGCGAGCUGCCGGCGCCGGCGGUAGUGGUGCAGCUGGCGAGGGAACGUCGUGGCGAAGGGAAUGAGGGGAGAUCAAGUGACGAGCUCGCUCGCGUGGUGGCGUGUAGCGGGCAAGUAGUAGGUGUCCCGGACGGUAUGGUGUGUGGUGGCCUGGUGGGAUAGAUGAUUGGUGGGUGGAACUGAACGUGGCGGUGGCGACGGCAACAGGACACCAGCCUGUCAGCACGCAACCCCUCUUGGUGUUGGAACUUCGCCGGCUGGCCGCCAUGUGUGUGUUCGUGCCCGCCUAACCUCCCAGCUCCAGCCUCUUCUUUACUUUGUUUUCUCGCAUUCUACCUUUUCCGCCGCAGACUUUGCAUUUCUAAAUCUGGUUUCACCGGUUCAGUGCGAUCCGUGAACAGAUUAUUCUGUGGCCAUGUUCCUUUGGGGAAUGGAAGGAGGAAGAGGAGAACCCGCUUUUGCUUUCACGAUCGGCGCGAUGCUUUGCUUGGUCCGGUGUGUUUUGUGGGCGCGGCCGCGGCGGGCACCGUGUCGGCGAGUGGUUGGAUCCGCCGCCGGGGUGGCUGUAAUUUUUUAACAUACAAACAGCAAGACCACGUUUGAGCCGCUGCUGAAUGCUAAUCAAUCAUUGCCACUAGAUUACAGUAGUAGCCAGUCGUGCGUCUAUUACGUGUAUGCUGGUUGGGGUUAGCAGACGAGCCUACAAAGUACAGACAGUGCUGUGGGUGUCGCUGAGGCCUGCUGCUUAUUUUUAAGCACCCGUUACAUCGAUGUUUACAUACUAAUUAGAAGUAUUAAACGUAGACUAUUUACAAAACCCACUACAUAAGCGGAGGCUAAACGGCGAGACGAAUCUAUUAAGCCUAAUUAGUCCAUAAUUUGACAAUGUGUUGCUACAGUAAAUAUUGGCUAAUGAUGGAUUAAUUAGGCUUAAUAGAUUCGUCUCGUCGUUUAGCCUCCACUUAUGUAAUGGGUUUUGUAAAUAGUCUACGUUUAAUACUCCUAAUUAGUAUCUAAACAUUCGAUGCGACACGUGCUAAAAAUAAGCAAACGGAAACCAAACAGCCCCUUACACGUUCGCUGAUCCUGCGUGAUCGUCACGGUGCAGUUCGUGGAGUUUUGUGUCGAUCAGAUACCGACAACGGCUGGCUUCGACACUAUGAAACUUGCGGAGACAGCGAUCGGAUUUUAAUUGGCGUGCGCUGGCGAGUGUGGCCGUGCACCUGAUCGUACAUCGACGUCCGACCUGAUGAUUGUCACCGACUCGCCGUCGGCCGAACCUGUCGGCGGCGGGCCUGGCAAAAAUUAUCGAGACUUAUCUCUGUUUUCUUCUGUGGGUUGGCUGGCAGCCUGGCGCCCGUCCGCUCUGUUAAAUGGGCCGAUUAUUAAUACCUGGGCUGGCCUGCACUGGUAAGUUAAUGGGCAGCAGGCCUGUUUAAAACUCAGUCCAACAACGCCUUUGGUUCUCGGCCUUUCUCUUUCCAGAAGCAGGUUCAUGUUGGGUCGAGAGGAAGGAACAAGGCUCAAACGAGGCCGAUUUGGGACAGCCCACAAGACUCGAAAUGGGUGGUGGUGUUCCCGAGUCAAGGGACUGAUGUUUGCAUGCUCAACGAGGCUCAUCAAGCCCACCUAACAUUCUGCGUCAGUCGUUUUGAAUUAAAGAGAGAAAAAAUGGAGCCCUCUUCCAUCCUCCACGUCUUUGGUAGCCUUCAUGCCUCUAGUUCGGGGAACCAGGGUCCGACGUCCGCAUGUAUAUACGCCUUCCUAAUAAGUAACUUUUGGGUAGGUUAGUUUGCCCAUGGCAGGGUUAGUGUUGCAUUCGGGUAUUUGUCGUUGAUGGCAUCCUCUGUGAUGAAAAUCCCCUGUCGCUUAGCAUCAAGGUACGUCUUCCAGUUCCUGAUGGAGUUGGAACUGGGUUGGUGUGUAACAGUGUAAGGAUCCUCUUCUUUAUUCUUUCAUUGCUCGUCUAUCGGAUUUUGCCAUCGUGGCGACAUGCAUCUGUUUCUGAUCUUUGUGAUGAUUUUACAGGCGCCCAUACGGUGGAACCUUCGGUAGUUCAAGUAUUCAGCCACUUGGUUGUCGUGCCACCGUUGCCCUUUCAUCAAUUGAAGCUCCUUCGUCCGCUCGGGCCUCGGGAGCUUGCUUCCAGCCUCUCCCUCGGUGCUCUACUCUGCUGCCUGCGAAGGGGAAGUGCCAAGCAGAGGCGGAUGUGCUGACCGGACAAGCAUGAGUUCGUUGAGAGGUUCACUCUGCAAGUGACCGGUUGUAAAGGUAUUGUUUUCAUAUAUAUACCCCAUCACUUAUAAAAAGAUCAAAGUUUAGGGGAUCCAACCCAAUAUUUUUUAAAAAAUAAACAGACUGGACUAGAAAGUCGUUUGCCCCCAUCACUGAUCAAAGUUUCGAGCGCGUGCACCGUGCACGUUCGUCCACUCCGUCCAAGUGGGAGUCGCCGCCGACGGGUGACGCAUGCGUAUCUGCGGAGCGCGGAAACUUUGGCCCGGGCUCCACCGCGGUUUCCACCAGCUGUACGCCGUCGUGGGACGACCGACUCCCCCCGGCCACGGCGCCGGUCCGCCGGACCCGCUGUGGCGCUGUCACAGUCCGCGGCCCACACCGUGCCGCACUUCCGCACUUGCCUCCGCCCCCGUAAUCCGCACGGUCGGUGGGCGUCGCCGAGCCCACCCGCGGACCAGCCCGAAGCCCCGAAUCAAUUCCGUUCCAGGUGCUGGCUGAGUCACCGGGUGCUUGACUUCCACGGCUUCGGAGCACACGCGGCGGGGCCUCUGAAUUCGCAGCUUCAACGAAGACAGCGUCAUUAGUCCUCGCAUUGCCAAUGCCAACGUUUCCGUCUGAUCCAGUGUUGACGAAACCCAGCUCCGGGCACAUCCAAAAGCGGCGUAAACCUGUGCCUAUCCGAUGGAAGAUCGAGGAAAUUCGUGCGCAGCCGGCUUUGAAUUUUGUUGCGCUCAUUCUCGCUCAAGCCAGACAUGCAUCAUGUGCUGGCACGUCUGCAUGCAACCUAGCCAGCCUCCUACACUGUGGGGGUCGUUGCUGAUCCGUCCCAUGCGUGUACCACAUGCGUGCACCGCUGUGCUGCUGCUGUCCUAGGCCGUUGCAGGGGAGUCAGCUCCAGCGCGCGCCAACGCGCGCACCGUCCGUCCUGCAGCUCCAUUGGGGCUAGCUUGGAAGGCACACCAAAGGCCAGGUCACGAACCCGUGAUGUGUGUGGAUAUGGUAGCACGUAGCAGCGAUACGCUGACGGAACGGGCCCGUCGCCGCCCAACGAUGAGAGCGAUCGUGAACGCGAGCGAAACGCGCGGCCGGUGGCGCGUCCCCGAAUCGGAUCCUGUCACGUGUGGCAUGCGCGCGUACCCGGAAGGAAACUGGUGGCGGUAGCUGGUAGAUGCUGCCUGCUGGCCACGGCCGGGAUCGAUCACUUUACACGUCCGCCGGGAGAGAAAACAAAGGGUUAUCCACAAAUUUAUCCGGAUCACAUUUGCGUAAUCCGGCGCAGCAGCGCCGAGCCAACAACCACCUUUCGGGCUUGCCGAUGGAUCAGAUUAUUUUACGGGGGUGGACUGGUGCAGCGGAUUCGCAGGUUUUUCCUGGAAAAAGUUGUCGCGCACAUCGCGGCCGCGUGCGCGCAAUUAAUAAUCCGCGCUAAUCUAAUCCAGAACGGCCGGGGCGACGCACAUCGCUUUCCCGCUACGACGAGCCCGUGACGCUAGCACGUCGCGGUCGCUCGAAAUCGCCCGCUAGUCAUAUGAUCUCGCGGGCCUAGCUAGCUCUCGAGCUGGAUCUGGUCUGGUGGUGUUCUCUAUGGGGUCGUAAUUGCGUUGGGCUUCUUUCGAUCCGCUCUCGCCCGCUUUUCCGGAUCGAACACGUGGGAACUGAGGAAAAGCGCCUGGGCCCCGGAUGAGACCGAAUCAGGCGUGGAUAAGACGACAGAUUAGCAGUAGUAGCAGAGCAUGGAUGAGGGAUCGCCGAGUUGGUGGCUCCAUUUGCCUGCCUUUGUAUUUACUUCCGCCACGCUCUUCUUGUUCCUGAUUCUGUGAUGUAGCACUGCUUCUGUCGUGGAUAAGACGGAGACGCGCUCUUUUUCGACAAUGUUUUGUGGGUUAGGACGUGCUCGGUGUGUGUGGUUACAAAGAAAACGAUGGAUAAAGAUCCUGAAUGAGGUUGUCAGCAUGGUUAAUUGCCACAAUAAACACACGCUAGUGGCGCCACAUGAAUUUCCUUGAAAUUUUUACCGCAUUAUGUUCCUGUUCGUUGCGCACAAUAGCAUGCAGAAUGGGAAAACCAAGCCACGCCAUCCUUUGAGGCCACCAGCUUAUAUUUGUUAGCUCGUUGUUUAGGCGGGGUAGAAGAGUAUUCUCUAGCUUGGUAAUUGGUAUCUUUUUUCGUGGUUUGUGUUCACCCGCCGGAUUUGCAUGACAAGCCAAGCAGAGUAAUAUGCAUUUCUUAAACGGGAAACUGAAAUUUUUAGAGCGCGUUCAUUGCAGAUAACGUUCAGGCAAGAUUAAAGUGUAAGCGUUCAAGAUCUUAUUUGGAUCCAUCCAUCCAAAAUUUAGCUAGCUGAAUUUAUGGAUGUUUGGAUCCAUCAUCUUAAUAAUUAUUAAAGAGAUAUUUGUUUAUCCUGUACUGCAAUUCUGGUAACAAAGUAAAGGACCCGUCAAACUUGCCUGGCCUGCACGGCGGCCGGUCGACGGUGUCGAUUUGCUUGCGUCUAUUUCUUUUUGAUCGGUUGUAGAUGUGCUCUGUUAAUUGGAUGUUCCAGGGGUUUGGAUGGGAAUUUGGUUUGCUGGUUCGGAUUGAAAUAAAUAGUGUCUGGUGUAUGUAGAAGCGUCAGCGCGGCAUUCUCUUUCAGAACCAUCGCCGCUCUAGACCAGAGAGAGGGACGAGGAAGUCUCUGGACAAUGUUGCUAACUGACGGGCCUGUUCUGACCGUGCGAUUAAUUAAGGAUAGUGAAUGGACGACGCAGAUCAGUAGUCGACGUGGCACAAUGGGCGCUCGAGAAAGGCCCAAUUGCCUGACCGAGAUUCGUCUAUUAGAGAUCGUACGUCUUAGUCUACAAGCAUGGUUAACCUGCUCUUUUGGAUGAUCGAAAUGGCUCACCAACGUCGUCGACCUGGCGCAGGUUCUAGAAGACAGCUUGCGGAUCUGUCAACAACAGGCACAGCUAGUAGUUGAGGGCUUCAGGCAGUGGAUAACGCAUAAAGCACAGCGUAGUAGUCCGGGCGUACGCCUAGUCCUACCUGACGGAGCCGGUGGUUCGGCCGCGUGUCAGCGUGCCGUGGUAGCGCGGCAGAGCCGGCGCGGAGGCUGACGGCGUGAGGUGGCGUUCAUGAUGCUGACGGCGUCGUUAUCCCAUCCAUCCAAUUCUAAUAAGCAGGGUGCUUCAGAGAUUCAUCGAACACGACACCCCCAGGAUUAGCCCUGUUAAUUGGGUUGGGUUUAUUGGUUUUAAUGGUUUGGUUUAUAUAAUAAGUUCAUUUGAAUUGGUUUAUAAUGAGUUGGCCUGCUAGAUGGUUUGGUUUGGUUUGGGUUUUACAAAUAAAUAGUUUGGAAGGUGUUUGGGGUGUGUGGUAUUAUUUUUGGAUCUAAAAGACUCUCAACCCGUGGGUUGAGACCCAUUAAGAACCCAAAAGCCUGGAGCCUCAUCUAUCAAGAGUCGGACCCUAAAAAUAAAACCUCACGUUCACACCUUAAAAUUUUGGAUAAAUUGAUCGAAACUUGUUACAGAUGAAUUAGUUUAACAGUCCGCUACUGUAUGCAAAGCAGUACGGCUGGACUUACAUGUGGGGCCCGCGUCAAGAGUCGGACCCUAAAACUAAAACCUCGUGUUCACACCUUAAAAUUUUGGAUGAAUUGACCGAAACUUGUUGCAGAUGAAUUAGCUUGACAGUCCGCUACUUUGUGCAAAGUAGUAUGGCUAGACUUACAUGUGGGCCCCACGUUGAGAGUCACAUACAAACUCAAAAAAAAAAGUUAACUAAUGGGUUUUUAUUGGGUACCUAAUGGGUUCUUAUUGGGUUGUAACCAUAUUUGGCAAGUAAUUUGUAUAACUUAUGCAAUAGUAAGUUUGGGGUGGUGUGGUGUGUGAUAGUGGAGGUUUGGUUUAGGGUGGGUUAUAUUUAUUUUCUUAUGAGAAUAGAUUGGUGUGGUUACAACAUGGGUUACAACCCAAUUAACAGGGUGACCCAGGAUCCACGUGAUGCCACACAAAAAUGGAGAAAGAGAAAGGAAAGAGGAGAAGAAACAAGGGCUCGCGUUCGAUCAUUCAUGUUCUGAUGCUCGUUGGCCUUCCGCAGAUUCUUCGCCAGCUGAAGGCAAAUCGUAGGCAGCUCCGUGACUGAUUCUCGGAUACCGCGGUGCAUUUUCGUCGCCUCAUAAUCUACUUAAGCGCGAACGAUUUCUGAAGAAAUUUUCAUCGCCCAGCGAAAAGAUUUUUCCAGAGAGUACAAGGUGGGUACACGCCAAAAGCCAUUGCGCUGCUAAACGGGCACAUGAUCAGCCGACAAAGGCACACCAGCUUGUUGCCGCCAUAUGGCUGAUUUUGAAAUCGCCCGCAUGUUUAAACGAAUAGAUUUUGCAGCCCUGGAAUUCCAGAACUCUCAUUUUAAAAUCUCAUGCUCGCUGAUCUUGAUCACCGUGUGAAAUCAAUCAAAACACCGCAUUUUUUUAAAAAAAAAUCUUUUGGACAUGCAAACGUGCCAACUUUAAUUGCUGUGGAUCAGAAAGUCAGUACUCAGUACCCUGUAGUCAGCAAGAGUCCAUGCGCACGGAGAAAGGCAGAGUUUUAAUUUGCAACUUGCAUUCAUAUACUUCGAUUUGAUCCAAUCCAUACCCCACAAAGAAAAAAGAAGACAGGGGACGAAGACCAGUUGACUGUUCGUCAUCAUCCAGUCAUCCUACCUACUGCGAUGAUUAUAAUACGGUGAAUCUUAAACCAUUUUAAAUUUCCCGCUAAACCCGAAGAAUAAAGCCGUAUGAGUAAAUUAUUGCCCGGCCGACACCGUCAGCAGCGAGCGACGUCCCAGGCGUCACGGGCUACUGCAUGCCGGCGAGCUUGCCGUUGCCGUUGGCACCGCCGCGCAUCUCGAGGUCGGCGCCGACGUGCACGUCCUCGUCGCGGAUGAAGCGGCCCCAGUACCAGUGGUUCUUCCACACGAGCACCAUUUCCUCGAUGGGCACGUUCUUGGUCUCCGGCAGGAAGAGCGCGACGAAGAUGGUCAUGACCACCACCCAGGCGCCGAAGAAGAAGAAGAGGAUGAACUUGAAGCGGCAGAGCAUGGGGAGGAACGCCUGCGCGAUGAUGAAGGUGCAGAGCAUGUUGACGGACACGUUGAUGCUCUGCCCCGCCGACCGGAUCUCCAGCGGGAAGAUCUCGCUGGGCACCAGCCACCCGAGGGGUCCCCAUGACCAGGCGAACCCGGCCACGUAGGCGCAGAUGAAGAGCACCACGAUGGCGGCGUACGCCUUGGGGAUCUCCGCCACGCCGGAGAACCCGAACUUGGCGCCGAUCAGGCUACCGACGACGAUCUGGCAGGCGAGCAUCUGGGUCCCGCCCUGCAGGAACAGCUUGCGGCGGCCGAGGCGGUCCACGGUGACGAUGGAGACGAAGGUGGCGAAGACGUUGACGAGCCCCGUGAUGACGGCGGACAUGAGGGAGGCGUCGUCUGCGAAGCCCAGCGUCUUGAAGAGCACCGGUGCGUAGAACAUGAUGACGUUGAUGCCGGUGAGCUGCUGGAACAUGGGGAUGGCGAUGGCCAUGACGAGCUGCGGCCGGUAGCGCGGCUGCAGGAUAUUCCGCCACGGGUGCGCCACGAGCUUGGACUCCUCGCUGGCGGCGACAAGGUCGUUGUACUCCUCCUCCACGUCCUCCGUGCCGCGCACGCGCUUGAGCAUCCGCUUGGCGGCGUCGGUGUAGCCGCGGUCGAUGAGGGAGUUGGGGGUGUCGGGCAAGAACAGCGCGCCGAUGGCGAUGAUGGCCGCCGGCACCGCCGCCAGGGCCAGGCUCACGCGCCACCCCCAGCCGCCCUUGAUCUUGGCGGUGCCGUAGUUGAUGAGGUUGGCGCACAGGAUGCCGAUGGUGAUCAUGAGCUGGAACCCGAUGUUGAGCAUCCCACGGAGGCGCGCGGGGGCCAUCUCCGACAGGUACACCGGCACGGCCUGGUUGGCGAAGCCGACGCCGAUGCCGAGGAGGACGCGGCCGAGGAUGAGCAUGACGACGUCCUUGGCGGCGCCGUUGAGGGCCGCGCCGAUGAGGAACGUGACGCCGCCGCCGAACAUGGACCACUUGCGCCCGGCCACUCGCGUCACCGUGGCGGCGAAGAAGGAGGCCACCAACGCGGCGAGGUAGAGCGAGGAGGUGAACAUGGUCAGCAGCUGGCUGUCGAACUUGCAGUACUGGUUGGUCUGGUUCCGCUCCGCCUCCUGCUCCUUGCGGUACACCGACGGGAAGAACUUCAUCAGGAACGGGUUCAUCGACGUCACGCCACCUGAUCAUCACGAACAAACGUCAGUUUUUUUUUGCUUUGCCACUGAUUUUUUGCUUCUAAGACUAUUCUAAUUUUCUGAAGGAAUGAUCUGAGGUGAUGUUUUUUGUUUAUUUGGAAAAAAGAAGGCUAGGUGAUGCAUGGAAAGAUUCUUCUUGGCUUUGCGAAAGAAUCUGGGAAACCAAAUAAAGAAAAGGCGGGGGAAUAUCGCAGUUUUGUUUGUAUGUGUAAAAUCAUGCGUCGGGUCUCCCGACAGCACGGUAGGUGAACUGCGCCCGAGAAAAUACCCUGAUUUGCAAGAACAGAGCAGCGUGCGAGAUGCAAACAGAGAGUGUGUUUUCUCUCUCUUUCUAAUCAUAGCCAUGAUUUUUUUUUUGAAAAAGAUCAGGAACAGAAGAACAUCGCAGAGGGACGGGAUGCGUAGCUUACCAGAGAUGCCGAUGUCAUAUCCGAAGAUGAGGCCGCCGGUGGCGGCGACGAUGCAGGCGAAGAGCACGAACAUGGUGAGCUUGCCGGGGUAGUCCUUGCCCCCUCCGGUGUUCACCACCACGCCGCCGGCCAUGGCGACUGCCCAAUACUCAAACCACAAACACACAAAGCUUUCGCCUCACACGAUCACAGGCUAGCUCCACACAGAAGACUUCACGAAAGGCCUAUGCCAAGAGGAAAAGAAUGGAAGUGCUCGUGAGCGCCCGGAGAAGAUGGGAACGUCUGCGAGUUCAGAGGCGAACGGAGGCAGCGUUGAUUGUUGAGACGGGGGAGGAGCGGGCGGGCAUUUAUAGGCGGGGCGAGGGGCCUCCAUGUGAAUGGGCGACGAGCUGGAGGGUGAGACUGCCAGGGUGGGGCCAACGCUCCCUCCCGCCCGCGCUUGUUUUUCCGUUCAUUAAUUGUGGCCGUGGAUAAAUCUUUAUCCCAGCUACCGGCCCCACCACCCCCGCUUCUUCCUUCCUGGAAAGACCCAGCGGCCAUUAAUGUGAACACGGCGCCGGUGCAGGCGCGCCAGCUGCUUUCCGCUCCCGGCGACGGCGGGGAGGAGGGUCGCCGUUCGCCGCCGUCCACCGCGAGAACGCGUGCGUGUACACGCUCGAGAUGGGCUGGCGGUGUUAUCCGUUCCGUUCCCGUUUUCGCUGCGAAAUGUAAACGUGCAGUGGAUAACGGCAUUAUUAGGUUCGAGGGUAGAAGAACAGUUAGCGGGGGGAUCUCCUGCUGUGCUGUGUCUGGAUUUCUGGAGUCACACCUGCUGAUGACUCGGCGACAGGUCAUGCAGGCUCCAUGCGUAGCGUAGCAGCGUUAAUGGCGAAUCCGAUUCUUGCUGAUCAAGUUCCUCGAUUGUGGUUUAAUUUGGCAGGGUGGGUAGGUGCAUGCCGUUGCCUUCCUCAUGGGAGGUGAGGUACGCUUGCUGACGUGGAACCGGCUGUGCAAGUGUUGAGCACAUGUGGAUGGGUCAACGGCUCAACGCUGGUCCAAAUUAAAACAGAUGAAACUGAUUAACCAGGCUGCGGCAUGGCAAAUUUGCGCAAAGAAAGAACCGAAUAAAAGGGUUCAGUUUUCUCUUAGGUUAUGGGUCUUGAUCUAAACGAUGAUGUAGAUUCUUAGGUUAACCAUCAUAACUCGACGAAAUCAGAUAAUGGAAUGCGGCGUUUUAUGAUCAAGCCGUGACAUGCUAUGCUGACCCACAAGAUCCAAAGUGCGCAACUUGGCUGCAUUCACCGAACACAUGCUCGCUCGGCGGCCACGGAAGUUGGGACUUGGACGGAAUGAUGGAGGCAUUGUUUAACACAAGCGCGAGCACGUCGCAGUCAUCGUGGGCGAACAGUGCCCCGGGACUGGCUCGGCCGGUCGGCUGCGUACCCGUCGGACAGCUAAUCUGCUAGCUCGGACGACCAUGGCCUCAUCUACUAUCUCCUUGGUCCGGCGCCGACCGGUGCGCCAGCACGUAUAUACUAGUACAGAAAAGCCAUCGAGCCAGACACGGCGAACCGCCGCCAACGGCGUUUUCUCCGAUCCGGGCACAUGUUAGGAACGAUCUGCCUGAGAUAUUUCUCCUUUUCGUACUGGCUCCCGCCGCCGUGGUGGUGUGCGUGCGUGGCGUCGUCACGCCACCACAUUACUGCGUUCUCGUCGCUGGAGUCGGCGGCUUCCGGCGGAGUCAAAGGAGGGUGCGGCAGAGGCGCGCGGGCGCUCGGGGCUAGCUGGCCGGACCGCGCCGGGAGCCGGUGCGGGCAAAGCUAGGCCGCAGGUGUGGGAUCGCUGGGAUACGCUAGCUUGCAGCCAUGUCGACGUCGCCGCAUCGCGGACGCGACAAGGACGCCUCCCAUUUGUACCGGUCCCGUCCGGCCUGUAGCCCGGUAGCAUGCGUGAGUAAUGCCAAGCGCCGGUCACGAUCCUAGGCUCACUAAUGGCUUGCUGGGUAAUGGCAAGCUAACUGCUAUAAUUUGGUCAAAGGGAUGCCGAUCUCGACGGUCGGAGCAAGCUAGCCUGGUCCACGGAACUACGGCGCCCAUGUCGGUCUCUGUGGGAACUAGGAAGGGCAUGCCAGUAGGAGUGCAGGAGGCAACCGCAAGUACACAAGGCUAAGAAGAAGCUAAGCACAUGGGACGGGACGGGGAAGGCGGAAGGCAGGCCUGCGAUCCGAGUCAACGAUCGACUGGGAUACGCGAAGAAGACGGGCCAGCCAUGCCAUGGUUCCGAGCAAGAGGGGGGAGGGAGAGGCCGAUGCGCGUGCGUCACCGCGACGACGAGAGCGAAGCCAGCGGACGGGUCCGGCGACCGGCGCUGAGGUCAAGCCCACCCCAAGACGUGUGCCUGUCAGUGUGGACGCAGCAGCUCCCGCAUGUGCCGCUCGUUCUCGCGCCUCGCCAGUCAAUGCCAACCAGCCGGGUCAACCACUGCUGCUGCCAGUCGACUGCGAGUCCUUGCUGGGCUUUCACUGUUGCCGGGAUAAGACCCCGCUGAGAUUUGACUUGAUUGAUACUCCUACGAUGCUGCUGCCCAACCCAAGUCGGCUGGCAAGAGCCCAAAAAAUGUGCGGAUUGGGAUCGUACUGUGGUCCGUGGUGACCUUUUGUGGAAAGUGGGACCCUACAAGCAGCCUCGUUUGAAAAAGUCUCGUAGGAGGAAGAGUCCUAGACUGCGGUCCACCAAUCAACAUCCAGCAAAACCCAAGAAUAUUCAGACUAGCAGACAAAAGAAAGAGCUGCUGCAACUUUGCAUGGCGUGGUGCGUUGCAUACUUGCACACCACCGUUUGUCAACAGUACAGUUUUUCGACUUUUCGUUCGGCAUGGGCCUACGGUGUGUAAUCUACACGUUGUCAUGUUUGAAUACUGUUACGAUGCACUCAUCGAAAUCCGAAAACAAACUACUACUGCUUUUGUACUAAAAUAUGUAAUCUGCUUCUUCCAACUGCCCAAAGUCCAAAACAAUAUGCUAAAUGACUAAAGCACGUCCUAAGAAACUGAGCUGCGCGAGUGCAAGUAGCAGCAGCAGCAGAUGAACAAUGUGCCGCUACCAGUAAAGCCCGAGUUCUAAAACCCUGAGCCAUACGUGGAAAGCUCAGCGGCGGCGGUUCUCGCGCCAUUUCUUCGUUCAAGGCGUGCAGGAAAGCAUGCUGCUCCGUCCAUCAAGUGCCAAAGGUUAGUGAAAAAGCGUGCGUUCAGGUUUAAUUUGAGACUUCAACUGUCGUUUUGUUCUGUUCCUAGUUCUUACCGCCAAGAAGACCACACGCGCUAUGACCUGACCUGUGAGAUGUUUACAGUUGACGCCGUAUCCGUAUCCGUAGUCAAUUACAGUGACACGCAAGACCACCAGAGCUACCUACAUGAGGACGAUGUAAUUUUCUUCCUUGAGCGCAGGAUAUUUUCAAGGUCAAUGCUGCUGGGUAGUAACGUAGCCCACGAGGCCGCCCCGCUUAAUUGCCGCUCGUGGCCGUUGCGGCCGAGCUGCAAUAACCACGCGGAUUAAACAAUCUUCGCCUGCUAAGCCCACAAAACAAUAUUGCAUACCCGCGAAAACCCGCAAGGACCCACUUCAUGACAACGCCCAUCUCCUUUCUUUUGCUCGCCACGGUGCUGCCCGGCGCCGCCGGACGAUGGUCACCGGAGGGUGAGCAUAACGAGGAAGCCGAGGAACGUCGCCGCGCCGACGCCGGAUCAGCUGAAGACGAUAAGCUGUGCCAUGCACUCGCGCGACCGCCGGAGUUUAUCGUAGCUCCUCGGGACUACGCCGGAGCAGCAGAGCACGAUGACGCCGCCGCCUUCGCCGCCCUCUGCUUGCAGGCUCACCUCUCGCACGUGGCCACGCCGAUCGUCGCACGUGAUGGUGGUCUAGACGGCCACGACGCCAGCGCCGGCGCCGGCGCCGGUGCCGAGCACGAGAGCGUCGACGCGGAACGGGGCGCCCAGGAACCUGCCAGACGAUGCGCAACAUGAUGCAGGCUCCACCUCUCGUCGCCAUCGACCCUGCCAGCAACGCCUCCGAUGGCACCAACGUCCACCUCAAAGAGAGCCAGCAGGCCUUGUGACUAGCGCUGAUGAUUCUUUCGGACGCUCGCGGGGUUUGCGGACACAGCCACCAGGCCCACUAACCAAGCACACUAAUUCCCAUGCGGGUUAGCGGCUUCUCGUGAUUGAUUGAAAAUGCUUUGCGGGCUAACGCAUGUGGGUUGUGGCUGUCCACAACCCGCCCCGCCUGCAUCCCUACUGCUGGGCACUCGAUCACGGUCUCACCGGUUGGUCUCACGGGCUACCUCAACCAGUUAAGUCUGUCAAUUUUCACUGUCACAUUCAACCAGCUGGUAAAGCAGGUUUAUCCAGCAGGAAUAUUCAUCGUCAGUGAGCAUAAGAUAUGUGAAUGCACGGCAUGCGGCGUGCAUAUCUCUUUCACUCACGUCGCUGCACGCAAAGGCCUAGACGCGCGUGUGGCUGGUCGAGCCGCCGGGCAAUAUUCUACAAGUCAAGCAGAUUCCUUUUUCAUCACAUCAACGAGUGGCCCCGCCAGUAAUCGUACCUACCAGCAGCCACUAUUCUACUUACAAGUUAACCGAUGGAAUCGAUUGACAUGUGCAACACGGGUGUGCACAAUUAAGAUGGCCAGAUGGGCCUUAAUUACUACUACUAGUAGCAGUAGAUUAACACCAAACUACAGUGUAUAUUAUUCGAUCCUCGUCGUACUUAAUAUUUGCUUCACGUACCCUGCAAAUAGCAAAAUGUUUUCCUUUUCCCUUCAUUUCAUCCCAAUCUUAAGCAAGUGCAUUUCGUCGACCGAUAGUAGACACGUGCGACCUGUCUGUUUUUUUCCCCCCUGAAGUCCCUGAUCGGCUGAUCUCAUUAUCAAAUCACUGAAAUCAGAGAGGGGGGUCGCAUUCUCUUUUGCGGAUGGAGCACAAACUGGCGGGCUGUAUUCUUUGGUCAUUUACUCGUUCAGUUUCCAAACGCUAAUGCCGUCCGAGUCACGUGCAAUCAUGUGCGGAUUCUGGUCUACAUUCUUCCGAGAAUGACACCCAGUUUGCCCACACGCAGUCACGUGCAAAUAAAAAGGGCCGGAAUGGAUUCUAGGAAUUUGAGGCCACGAGCUUGGUGCCUGUAGUGAGUGGCUCACUGGCUCGUCAGCUAUCACCGUUUUCCACGGGUGCCCGCCCUCUCGCCUGUGAUUUGAUUUUGGAAUCCCAAGUGAUGGGCACUAGCGAUUUGUGGAUCGUGCCCGUCGCCCGUGCGCUGAGAUUGUGUGGGGGUAUGCAGGAAACGUGGCAAGCAGAGGCACCGAGAUGACUCGGAGCGAGGCGGACGUCCGCUUCAGUUUUGAUCAUACAGAGUUGCAGACCGGGCGAAAGUUGGAGUAGCGACGCAUUCUGUGAGGGUUCUGCUCGUGAGUCGUGAUACGGUAGCAGAGGUGCUGGCAAACUAGAUAAGAUAGUGUACAAAGAAAGGAAGGGGAGAGCAAAGUGAACUCAGAUCUCAAAUUGCAAAGCUGAAUGUUCAGAUCAGAGAUGUGAAGCGCAGCAGCUUGAGAAUUUCCGGUAAUGUAGCUGAAGAAAAAUACUGAGCUUAAGCUGUUUGAAAUGAUAGUUUAUGGCCCAUCGAUGUGCUGGGCCUGAGCGCCUUCACGCGCGCGCGAGAGGACCAAUCCCUUCAUGGGCUUUUGUCGGUCUAGAUCAGCCCAAAUCUUUCACGCUCAUGAUGGACUGGAUCACCACCUACAACACCGGAGGAAGAUGAAGCCCAAAAAUUCGUCACAUACAGGUGUACCCUGAACCGGACGGCCCGGGCGCGGCACGGCGGCAUCACAGGACCGUUGCGCGGCGGCCAGCUGCGGCAAAACAAAAAAAAGAGAUGCGUCUGCCGGGAGUCGAACCCGGGUCUAUUGCUUGGAAGGCAAUUAUCCUAACCGUUGGACUACAAACGCCUUGUUGAGGUAAAGGUUAAGAUUAAAAAUAAUAGAGAACAGACACAUGAGAGCAUGUAUAUUAGGCACCUUCUUUCCCUUUUCCUUUGAUAUGUUUUCAUUUCUGUACCUUUUUCCCCGACUCCCAGUGUUAAUUGAGAACCUCUAGAACACAAAGUCCCUGGACCCUAUGCUGUUAGUCAGCAAAGCUUUUAGGUCUCUGUUGACAGGGCUCAGCUUUUCUAUAGGUGGUCAACUUCAACAAGAAAAAGUCGGAAAGAAAGCAGCGUCAGAGUAACAUAAUCUCUGGAUGAUGUAGUAGCCAACCUAACCCAACAAUCAUCUCACGGUCUUCCAGAAAUCCGGAACUACUUUUAAGCGUUGACGUUCCAGAACAAAAAGCUCUUGAUUGCUGCAGAACGGCGCCUCCCCUCCCUCAACUGCCUCGGACUUGGAGACAGACACCUUGCACAUCACAGGGGCCAAUGCCACUACGAAGCUGAUGGUGCGACCAAUUGUAAGGUUGGCCGGUGUUGGAAACUGGAGAUCAAAAUAAAACAGAGGGAAUUGCUUGUUGGGCAGACGUUUUCAUGUGCUCACUGCUCAGUGAAUGGCUGCUGGAAAAGGCAGCUCGCCUGACUCUGACUCAGUGAUGACCGGGGAACAAACUACCGAACCUGCCCGUCGAAAAGAAACCAUUCCUGUCUGAAUAAACGACCCGUGUCUGGAGAUGCGCUGUCCAACGUCUCUGACUGAAGCUUCUCACGACAGGUACGUGUAGCCGGAACUGCCAUCUCGGCUCAUACCUCUGAAGUCAUGCUGAGUUGCUAGCUGCUCAAACAUCUUGUCUGAAACUUGAAGCAAGCGAAUGCUCCUCCUCAUCGAACAAGGACUGACCUGACUGUUCGGCUCAGAGGGGGACAGGAAACUAGAAAAGCAGCCAUCAAGCUGAUGCCAAUGUUGCGUGUCUCCUUCAGCCAGUUAUUGGUCAUUUCAGGCUCUCGACAGCGAGGCUUGAGCAACGGAAGCACGGACGGUCGAUCGGGGGCUCGGGGCAGGUCUACGCGCCAAUGCCUCGGCAUUGUGACGCUGGAAAUUUCACUGGUCCAGGUCUCAGAUUCAGCCACACGGUACUGAAUCCAAACUACUGGUGUAGCACAUAAAGUCGUGUAUUGUUCAUGUUCAAUGACCGUGCUUCUGCAUCGACAUUGCAGAUUUACAGUAUCUUCCACGACCAGUCAGAGAGUUUUAUUGCCCUGCUUUGACUCGAUAGUACAAUCUUCAGAAACACCUGCAGAUGCUGCAGCACGCGAGAUAAACGCACAGUUACAUUUACAUCCUGCAAAAGGUCUGCAGACACAGCAGCAAUGGAUCGAGUGCGUCAGAGAAGACGACCAGUCGCCAAUAGAUCCGCAGCUCUGCGUGCAAUAAGUGUGUCCACAUGGAUGGAUCGAGGUAAAGAAGACGGCGACUUAUUGCGAUCGCGAGAGCUAGCUUGAGCCCAUGAUCGCAGCUCGUCGGCAGGCAGGCACGCAGUACCCGCACUGUACCGCGAGAGAUCAUAACGCGAAGGCGACCCUACCGCGCGAUCGCGAAAGCUCAGAUCGAUUUGCCAUUUUGCUGCUGAAUGAUUGGUUUCCAUCACUCAUUUGGGCCAUGGUCCACGCCGCCCACCUUUCUGUCAAAGAUGAAUGUGCCCAGCGGCAAGAAGGAAAACAUCCGAUGCACAGGUAAAAGUGUGCGAUUUUCUGAUGCUGAUGCAGUCACUGGGUGGAUGGAUUAGUUGUUGAAUGGACUCGCACUUUUAUUUGACAGUGAUGAGUGAUAUACACAUGGGGUGACAAAUCACUGGGUGAUUCAUUCUUUGAUUCCUUCACAGCAACAAAAGAUGCAAGGAACAUGUGUGUUAGCUAGAGGUACAGUACUAGUAAGUGACAGCUAGUUCUUGUCGCCAAGGAUUACAGGCUCCAGAUGCCAUGGAAAAUACUCCUCAGCUUGCUCCCGCCAAGCUUCUUCACGAUCCGUUUGGCGUCCGGGACAUUAGUCUCCGCGAGCUUCUCGAGAUUCCUGCCAUGGAAACAUAACAAACAGAUCGUGAGAAUUUCUAGUGAGAUGAGAUGUGAUGAACAAAAACACAUAACGAUUAGUCAGUGAUUGACAGGUGGUGUCUGUACCUGACGUGCUCCGAGGACAUGAUCUUCCUCCGGCCGGAGCUGCUGUCCGUGAGGUGCAUCAGCGUCGACAGCAGCAACCGCUUCGCCGGCGUGGGCUUCUCCUCUUCGGGGCCCAGUAGCUGCAGCACCUGCGCCACGUUGCGGUCAUCCUGGACGAACCGCUUCCGGUUGCGGUGCACGGACACCAUGGCGCAGAGCGUGUCCGCCGCCAUCUCCCGCGCCUCCGGGGACUUGGCCGCGCGGAGGACGCUCACCAUCUCCGGCAUGAACCCAGCGUCCCCCAUCGCCUUCCUGAUCUCCUCGGACACCUGGCACAGGCGGUGCGCCGCCUUGAGGGCGCAAUGCUGCAGCGUGGUGUCGCCGUUGCGUAGCAGGGAGAGGACGCGGUCCAGGAACCCGGCGGCGAGGAGCCGGUCCGUGGAGGUCGGCGGCGAGAGACAGAUCGCGUCGAUGGCGCGGAGGGCGACCUCGCGCGCCUUCGAGGAGCGCGUCGGGGAGGACGGGUCGAGCGCGCGGACGAGGGACUCGACGGCGCCUUCCUGAAUGACGGCCUCCCUGGCGGAGCUGUCCCCGGAGGCGAUGGCGGCGAGGAGCUCCAUCGCCUGGAUCCGCGCCGCGUCGUCCGUGGCGGCGCCCUGCGAGAGCGACACGAGCGCCGGCACGGCGCCGGCGUCGGCCACCAUGUACUUCCUGAUCUCGUCCACGCCUGCGAGGCUCCGCAGCACCCGGCACGCCGCGCACACGAGCUCGCCGCCGCGCGCGCCGUGGUCCGUGCACACGUUGAGCAGCGCCGUGACGCCACCGUGCGCGGCGACGGCCCAGGCAUUAUCCGAGUUCUCGGUGAGCCUGCAGAGCACCCGCGCCGCGCGCUCCUUGGCCGCCGCGGUGCUGCCGGCGCCCGCGUCGAGGACCCGGACCACGGGGGCGAUGACGCCGCCGACGACCAGGUCGCCCCUGUGCGCGUCGGACCCGGCGAUCACCGAGACCGCCUCCAGGGCCUCCUCCUGGACGCGCGGGUCGGGGCACUCGAGCAGCGAGACAAGGACCCCGACGCCGUCCGGGACGUCGGAGGCCACGACGCGGACGCACUUCUCGUCGUCGCGCAGAGCCUCGCCGAGCGCGGCGGCGGCCUCCCUCCGCAUCUCGGCGCCGCCGGCCCGGAGCCUGGCGAAGAGGUCCCGCACGUAGAACCGCACGUCAUCGCGGGUGGCGCCGGCGCCGGGGCGUGGCACCACCAGCGCCCGCGCCCGCGUGAGCGCGCCCGACGCGUACACCUCGUCCAGCCGCGCCACGUGCGCGUCGAGCGCCGCCGCCAGGACGUCGAGGUCGCUGCGCAGCCGCAGCUUGCCGCCGCCGUAGUGCCGCCCCUGGCUGCGCGGCACCAGCUCCAGCGCCUCCCGGGCGGUCGCCGCGACGUCCCGCAGGAGGCUCGCGAACGCGUCGCACCUGUCCUCGCCGUUGUCGUCGUCGGCGCCGGUGACGGUGAUGUCGGCGAGGCCGGCGUGGAGGCGGUUGAGCCGGUCCCUGAUGAGCUGCCACUUGAGCGGGAACAGCGUGGCCGACAAGGAAGCGGAGACCAAGGAACUGAUGGCGUCCAGCGCCUCCGCAAGCAUCCCCUGCUCAUCCAGCUCCUCGUUCUGGCUCAACUCCGCCGCCGGCGCGGCCGCUUCUUCCUCCCCUGCUUCUCCCAUCCUCCUGUCCUGUCCAAGCUCACUGCCUCAGCAGCAUCGGUCAGCUCCUUCUCCGAAGAAGGCUCACAUGCACCUCUUCGAUUCUCGCCGAGCUUGCAUCGUGGUGGUGGUCGAGCGAGGACGAGAGGAGAGGUGGAAGGAAGCAGCGGUGCGUGGAGUGUGAUAACUGUAACUGCACGGUGGCGCUGAACUGGAAGAGACGGGCAGCUUUGGCGUCUUCCAGGUAGUUAAUGGAGGUGGAGGUGGAGGCGGGUGGGCCCGGCAGUGGGCGGUGGACCUACCGGCCGGGGCGCAGGCGCAGCACGAGCGCGCGACUGUUGAUGCAUGCGCUGGGCUUCUCGGGGAAACACGACGACGAGGCCCCGCCUGCCCUGGGGAUCGGCGAGCUUUGGUGCGGAGCGGCAAGCGCACGACGAGGGGAAUGGAAUAGCGGCACAAGUGACCAAGCCUGCCAGCGUCCACUGGCUACGGGUUUAGGAUCGCGUGACACGCUCAAAUGCUAGGCGCACAUAGAGGAGAAAUAUGGAACCCUCUCCAGCUCAAGUGUCAACCAUUUGAACAACACAAAUAUACAGUAUCUUGUUCUGUGCGGUGAAAGACGAAACUAUGCAAGCCGACACGACAACCUCCUCAUCAGUCUUGUAUUGUAUCUCUCACAAAUAUGGCUAUUUAUUUGGCCAUAGGCGGUGUACUGCUCAUUGAUAGCAAGGUACGUGACCUUGUCACCCUGAACGUCUAUGUGUGUGUGUGAAUCAGUGGUUGUGCCAAUAUAUUUAUUUCUUUUUCAUAAAAAAUAUGGACGCUGAUACUGCAUCUGAGUGCCACAUCAAGAGCUUUCAGGAUGGAUGUCAAUGCUCAUUCAUAUAGCUUGAUGUAUCCACUAUUCCACUAGAAUGGAACUCAUCUGUUACUAUUUGCACUAACAAACACCAUGACUCAAAUUCGGUCAAAUAAAUCAUUUAUUUUUAUAUGUAGUAAAACUUCUCACUGAUGGUUUGGAUGAUAUACUCCUUUUUGGUUCGAACAACUCAUUGUCCUAGAUAUAACAUAGAGAAUAAAAUAAUGAUACACUAGAAUUGAACUCAUUUCUUACUCUUUGCACUGACAAACACCACGACUCAAAUUCGGUUAAAUAAACCAUUCAUUUUUAUGUAGUAAAAUUUUUACUGAUGGUUUCAAUUUUUUAUGUAGUAUGCGAAUAUGGAUGGAUCAUGGAUGCCUAGCAUUAUCUACAUAGCACGCUCAAUACUCAUGCAUUCUCUAGGCUACAAAAUAUAUUAUUUUUAAUUAUUUUGAAACUAUUUGAAAAUAGUCAUUAUAAUUGAACCUAUUUAGAUUUGUAUCUAUGACUAUUGAUAUUAAUAUGGUUAAUGGUAUUAAUUUUAAUCAUAUGACUAAUGAUAUACAAUUUAACUUCAAAUUGCGCACAUUCAAUAAUUAAAAAUUGAAUCUAUUUAAAAUUUGCAAUAAUUAUCUUGAAACUAUUUUAGAAUGGUAUCUAUGAAUAAUAAAAAUAUUAAAUUGUAUAAACUAUUUAUUUCUAAUUUCAAUUAAUGUUGGCAAUGCUAUAUAUCCCAUGUUGUAUUUUUAUGACUUGUAAUAUGAUUGGUGUAAAUAAAUGUGUAGUUGUGAAAAUAGAAAAAAUAUGAAAUAUUAAUGGUAUAUUUUUAUUCAUCUAACUCAGUGUUUGGUUAACAUAUUAGCCCGGUUUUCAAUCAAAAUAUUAUUUUUUUAAUAAUUUAUUUAUAAUGGUUCUAAGAAAGUAUUAACUCAAUAUACAUGUUCAAACCAUUAUUAGUUUUUAUGUGUUUUUGUUCUUAAAUAUAAGUAUCCUUUGGUUUUUGAAAUGAAAAGAGAAUUUAUAAUUUGAGGUGCAGAUAGUCCAAUUUCUAUCUGUAUUAAAGAUUCAAGAGUAUCCUAAUUCAUUUUAAAAUAUGGAUACAAAAGUGGAAAGAGCAAUAUAUAACGGUAUCCUAUCUAAUUUCCAUCCCCGAAAAUCUCAACGUGGUGACCACUUUCCACGAACGAAACUCGCCACAGCUCGGACGCAUGAUUCAUCACGAGAUGCAACAUCGAGUUCUUAGCAUCGACCGAUGGCAUCAUGGCAAAGCGAACAAAGUCUGUCAAGUCAGUCCAGGCAUCUAGCAGCGCAGCCUGCAGCCGAGAAUCACGAAGCACUGCCGCACUGGCACUGAAGCAUCCACUCAACGCCGAAGAACGCGCGCGACUGGACAAGAGCGCAUGCACGGGAGCAAUUCCUGUGCGCCUGCCUCAUCGUGCCAUGCAUGCAAUCCUGCCAUGAAAACUACUACUCUAGAACUGCCAAUCUUCUCGUCGCCUAGGAAAGGGUCCAUUUCUAUCCACUUGCGCUUCGCUUCUACGCCGCUCAUGUGAGCCCUUCCUUAAUUUGGCUGCACCUGCACCUGCACCUCACGAGAGAGCCUCGCUUUAGCUGGUGUGGAUGUGAAGGAACAAAGGGCGAAAGGAGCACAGGAAAAGAUGCAUAAAAAGCUCUGCAUGGCAAGGAUCACACAAGGGUCUUGUUGCCCUCAUGGCAAGAAAAGGGCGCCCGCUUUCCUCUUUCUGGAGAUCCGCAGAAUACUUGGCGGUUGGUCAUGUGAGAGCGAGAGGCAAACGGCAUCGGCUACCUGCUCUGCUCAGCUACCGGUCUGUUACUGCAGUGUGAUCCGUGAUGCUGCAUUGCCGUGGUAAAGAACAGUGCAGGAUGGAAACAUGUGAUUCGUGAACAUUCCAUCAGGCAAACAGAGAUGAGAACAAUUUAGCAUGAUUUUGCCGUGUAUGGCUGCAUGCUGCAUCGGUACGUCCGUCGGAUUAUUGUCUCUGGAUGGAUUGUGACUUUGUGAGAGCCCAUGCCUGCAUGGGAGCUGGGGGCUCAGCACAUGUGGCUGGAACUGUGGAUGGAUAGCUGCGAGACUCUACCAAUAUCACUGAUAUGAAAUCAAUCAAUAAUGUUUCGGAAAAUGCAGCUGCAGUGGUCACGUAUGCAUGGCUGGAAUCGUCUACUGUUUGGAAUCAGUACCUAGCAGGAUAACAGACCAUCUCCUCCUUAGAAAAAAAAUGAAGGCAAAGUCUGUACAGAACUUUCACACAGAUUGUGGCUACCUGAUUGUAUGAGCCACCACUCAUCUCCUGUAGUUAGUUCUUCAGAAACCUUGGACCCAUCUCCUCAUAAUGCCAUUGUUCUCUGGACAAACUCAAUAAAUUGGUAAUACGAGAUCCUGGAAAAGGGACAGAUCUCUGAUCUGGACCCAUGAUUGCCCUUCAAGAUCAUCAUGGGUAGUGGCUCGCAAAGCGCUCCCAAAGUUUUGGUCCCAUGGAAAGUGGUUGUGGGUGACAAAGUACAUGUGCUAUAGCCCAUAGGAUGAUAUGGUAGUAAAAGCUUCGGUUUCCCCAUGGAGAGGAAAAGCCACCCCCACUUUCUUGAGAAGAAAAAAGUUUGUAAGCCAACAGCUAUCUUUUGCUGCAAUGUUUAUGCAUUGACUCAAAUCAUCGCAGCAGAUUUGGCCGCUGAUUGUCAAACCUAGCGCAUGCUGAUUCUCUAGGUGCUUUGAGUGGCUCAAGGAUUUUGUCAUGUCUCUGCAAGAAAUGUUUUUUAAUAAAAAAAGGAGAAAGAAAUGUUUCUGGAUGCAGUGAGUGCAGUUAAUACUGAAACAGACAUGAUUAUAAAGUACAAAAUCAAACUUGACAGUUAGUGGCAUAUGAUCCAAUCUAGUUCAUCAUUAGACUAGGUGAUCUCAAGAGUAGGUAAUUUAGACGGAAAGGCAUGUAAUCCAAAGUAGAACGAAGAUGUACCCAAUCUGAACCUUGCUUUUGCUUUGCUAUCCAAGAUCAUGCGGUGGAGUAGUUGCUUUUCGAGCUUUCAAGAGACAAGCCAGUGCUACAGAACAGUUGCUUGGGACAGUACUGUACUGGUGAAGUUUUAUCAAAAAAUAUUAUUGGAGAGCGUUCGCUACCUAAAAUUAGCCAACUGAAAGCAAAACACCACCAACCAUCAGUUUGACAUGCAUGCAUCCUUUAAUUAGUUGUCUUAAAUUGUCAUGCAGUUUGUGAUACAAUGAACCAUGUCUGAUAUUCUUCAAUGACAAACUAUUUUUUUUCACUAAUUUACUGCUAAAUUUUAGUAGUUUCUUGCAGCAGUGUUUGUUUACUACUGUUGACGCAGCCUGCCGGAUCAUGAAGCAGGAUUGUAGAACAGUCCAAGAUCCAGGUUAUAAAAAAUAAACUGUACUGAAUGUUUGGGAUCCAAGAUAUGUUACCGUAGAAUGUAAGCUGGAAACAAGUUUAGAAUCAUCAGUGGUUGGUCAUCUUACCGAUCCCUUCAGCACUCCAUAGAGAUUGAUGUGUUCAAUCAAGUGCUGGGGAAUAAAGAAGUGAUAUGUUUGGUAAAAGGAAAAUGAAUAAGUUGGAUAUACCCGAACCACUCCACAUGCUCUGCCGCAGUUCCGACACAAGACUGAAUUAAUAUGUAUGCAGUCGAGAAAGACAAAUGGUCGAAGGCAGGAACAAUUAUAGGGACUGGUGAAUAAAGAAUCUACAAAGAAAUAUUAAAUUAAAUUAUCUUUAAAAUGUUGCAUGCAAAUGUCGUAACCCUAAAAAAAAAAACAGACCAACAUAAGACAAACAAAAUAAAGUGCAGAUUCAUGAAGAGCGUAUCACAAUAAAACAGAUAAACAAGGACGCAACACACAACUGAAGAAACUUUCUGAAGAACUCCUGUGUGUGACACGACCCAACACCUGCAGGCAGAUCGAUGACACCUUUCUCAUGAACAAAUCACUGCCAAAGAUCACUGACAAAUUUGAUGAGACCGAUUAACUUAACAGCAAUAUUCAGAUCAAUUUCAUUGUAAACUCUGCAUAACUUGGUCCACAAUUGGUUCUGAAAAUGACACCGUAUCGUGACACGCCGUCUGCUGGUUCUAGUGGGCCACAGCUCUCUAUGAGCAUGACUCGGCCACGAUAUGCCAUUUCUUCACCAUUUUCAUAUCCAAAAAAGCUCCAAAUACUGUCUGUCCCAAGUUAUCUCAUCCAGAGUUUCAGUCAUGCAGCACCUCCUGAUUCUACCGGAGGUCUAGAGCACUUCCUUUGAGCAGUUGCUCUAGAGCAGUUCCUUUGAGCACAGCCUCGAUAUCCAGCCUGUACCAGGGCCCAACGACGGCGAAUUGGCAAACGGCCCAUCCCAAAACCUGUGGCGACAAUGUGCAUGCAAGCGCGACGAAAGUGUCGUCCAUGAGCCUCGAGCGUUCUACCGCCUUAUCCCGGGUUCCCAGCCAAGUGGAGCAGGGUCCUCCACGAUCUCUUCAGUGGCCGGCGUUGGACGCGGCGAAUUCUUUACACGCCGCCGCUAUCCGAGCCACGAACACCGAGGCACGUGCGCCCGGCGCGGCCACAUGUCGAGCAGCACGCGAUCGAACGCUCUUUUCCGUCGUUCCCAAUCCGGCCUCAAAUUCAAUUUGGCGCCCCAUUUGGUAAUGGCUAUAUAACGUGACGAGCCACCCGAAGCAUUCGCCGCAUCUCGCGCCCCGGCAUCUGCUCCGCUUCCUCUCGGCUAGCCGGCCACCGUGUCGUAGUCUCGUGGAGCGACAGAGCAAGGCGGCGGCGGCGGCGGCGGCGAGGAUGCUGGAGAGCCAGGCGGUGAUCGGGGACACGGACAUGCUGCAGGCGAUGCAGCAGGACGCGCUGCGGCUGGCCGGGAAGGCGCUGGACGACUUCGAGGCCGUCGACUCCACCGAGAUCGCCCGGUUCAUCAAGAAGGUCGGUCGGUCGGCCGGUCACCGUUCGUUGUUGCAGCGAACACUGAACGCCUUUUCAGAAUGGUGACAUGUUUCUUUGGUUUCUGAUGCUGACAUGUUUUUGCAGGAGUUCGACCGGUCGUACGGGCCCGGAUGGCAGUGCAUCGUGGGCACCGACUUCGGGUCCUUCGUGACGCACCACUCCGGCUGCUUCAUCUACUUCGGCAUCGGCAACCUGGCCAUCCUGCUGUUCAAUGGCGGCGCCGGCGGCGCUCCUCAGGGUGGCACGGCGGAGCAGGCGCGGCUCACGGCGCUGAAGGCUGCUGUCGAGGCGUGAGGGAUCGGAAUGGCGUAGGGUAUGCAGGAUGGAUUGGUCGAAGUUAUUAUGGUUCGUGUCAUGGUGUGGCUGUGUUCCUGCCACGUCGUUUCGUGCUUGCUUGCGAGUGAGAGUGGCCAGACUCGAGUGUAGCGAUCAAACUUGGAGGACUUUAAUUGGGUCUUGUUUUUAAUUGGGUCUUGUUUAGUUUCCCAAAAUCCCAACUUUGGUACUAUGCAAAAAGAAGAUUCCCCGUCACAUUAAACUUGCGGUACAUGCAUGAAGUACUAAAUGUAGACAAAAUCAAAAACUAAUUGUACAGUUUUGUUGUGUAGUCAAUGUUUGGACAAUAAUUCAUAAAUACAAACGAAACGCUACAGCACAGUGAUUUUGAUCGUUCAAAAUCGAGCAACUGAACAUGCCCUUGGUAAAAAACAUUGUUCUGGCGGAAGCAGGUCACACCGAAAGUGCGGAGUGGAACUUCACAUGCAUUUUCAUCAUUCUCACGUUUCUUCAGAAUCUUCAGAAUCAUUGUUCUCGCAGAAGCUGUGGGCUAUGGGCUACGGAUCAGUCCUUCGCUAUCCCUUCCUUUUCGUCCGUCUAUCCGGAAUUUUUUUAUUUUCAUAUUUUUUUCGAUUUUGCACAAAUAUAUAGUCAAAUCAAAAAUUUGCAAAAUGGGCUUAUACCGCCGGCUGAAACUGUACCGCCAUUUGAAACGGUACCGCCGGUUGAAACGGCGGUAUGGGCCUGGCGCCUCAACGGUCACCCAGCGGAUAAGCUCUGCGCGGCAUCCGAGGAAACUGGCCCUUACCGCCGGUCAAACAGCGGGGCUCGCCCACCGUAUAAGCCGCACCCACGCCCCUCCCCUCCCCCGCACCAGACUGCGCCAGACAGAGAGAGAACGCCAGAGAAAGAGAGGAAAUGAAAGAAGGGAAGAAAAAAAAGAAGGAGAGGAGAGGAGGAGGAGGGAAGAAGGGGGAAGGAAAUUCUUCCGUCGUUUCGAGGUAAAUUUUUUUAAUCUUGUAGUUUAGAUAGUAUAGUGUAGUGACUAAAUCUAGAUUUAGAAAUAUUAGUGGAUCUGAGAUUUAGAAAUAGCUAGUGAAUCUAAGACUUAGAAACAUUUAGCCGAAUUUAGAUAUAGUAAAAUGUAGCUUAGUUGGUUCAAUAAAUUUAGCUUAAACAGUAAAAUAGAUUUAGCUUCGGUGGUAUAGUAGAUUUAGCUUAGGUGGUAUAGUAGAUUUAGCUCAGGUAGUACAGUAGCUUUAUUUUAGAUCACAGUAAAUUUAAGAAAUAUUAGUGGAUCCGAGAUUUAGAAAUAUCUAGUGGAUUUGAGAUUUAUUUGUUGUGUAUAUUAGUUCUGGUACAUGUCUACGGUAAAUUUAGUUAGUAAGUUUGGUUUAGUGUUACAUAGUUAUUUGUUUAUUGAAUUGAAGUCGUCAUUGCAGUUAACUGACAUCAUUGUAGUCGUCAUUGUGGUACACUAAGCUUGGUUUAGUGUUACGUCGUUGUCUGGUCCCCUCUCUGUUUGGGCUGUUGCAGCGCCGGUUAUAUAGCGUGAACUCCCGCCGGUUCAUCCGGCGGUAAGGGUCCUUCCACCGUUUCAACCGGCGGGGGUUCCUCGAUCCGCGCGCACACUGCUUCGGCGGCAGCACUUAGGUGGUGAGGGCCUUACUACCAUUUCAACCGGCGGUAGGGCUCUCCCACCUGCUGAAACGGUGUCAGGGACCGGUGUAGGGGGUGUCAGGCCGUACCGCCGUUUCAGCCGGCCGUAUAAACCCAUUUUUGCAAAUUUUUUAUUCCACUAUAGAUUUUUGUAAAAUCGAAAAAAAUAUAAAAAUAAAAAAAUAUCUCCUCUCCGAGCAAAGCACAUGGGCCAAAACCUGACCUGGGAGACAACAGGAGAGAGAGAGAGAGACUUGUACAAGCGUUGGGCCCUGUCUCUGAACCAUAGGCCCAUGAACACACUGCUCUUUCCGUUCCAACUAGCCAGAAUGCCAGAUCACCUAACACCCUAUCAAGGGGUAAGCUUGCUACCUCAGUGACACGACCCGAUCUCACUUUUCUUCAACACUUUUUGCACACAUCGUUAUCACGUUUACAAAUCAUUUACUUGUCAAAAAUGCAAGAUGUCGUGCACGUAGACACUAGCGGAGUUAGGUGUAAACAAGACGUGUAGGGGUCCCUGUCCUGUUCCCACGAAAAUUAUGUCUUGAAAUGCUGCAAGAACAAUUGUAUCUGAAUACCUAAACAAACAAUUGUAUCUGAACCGGCUGCCGUCCAAAUCAUGUUUAUGGAAUGGGAGCAGUCUGUUCACGUGGCCCAUGACAGGGAGACAGGGAGAGUGCCUGAAUAACUAUCUGUCGCAUAUACGUGGGUCCUACUUGUCAGCGCCAUAGCCUCCUCUUCCUCUACCUUCGCCCGCUGCCGGUUCUCCUUUCCCUUCUUCCUCUUCCUCCACCGGCCUUAGAAAAGGGGUGGGAGAUCGUAGGUAGACCUUGACGGCAGAGGCAGGUUGUGAGGCGGCGCGGCGCGGUGACGGGUGGAUAGCCGGUAGGCUAGGGAUUGGCCGGGGCGAAGGUUGGAGGUGAGCUUCUCGGCGGAGCCGGAUUAGGGUGACGGAGGGUGGCGGCGGCAGAUGCGGUGGCUAGAGUUGCCGCAGACGGUGGAGGACAACAGCACGGGGGCGAGCGGAGGAGAGAGAGGGGCCGAGGAGAGAAGGCAGCGGGUUCGGCGGCGAGCCGCCGGAGCCAGGGAGGAAGGUGGUGCAGGGGCUGUUACUGAAAAUGUCGCCUUGAGUGACACGUAGCACCGCCCCAGUUAGGUUGCGACAAACGAUUUGAUGCCUGAACAACGUGCAGUCUGACGAAGCGCUGGAGACCAACAGAUUCGAGCAUUACAGCGAUAAGCAAGGUAUAAAUUUAGGUAACAGCAAAUCUAAAUAGUCCAGCAGGAAAUCCCAGGCAGCAGCACCUAAAACUUGCGACGAGAAAUGGACAGGCUGAGACGAUAUUCAGUCAGUGUGCACUGGCGCGUCACAUCACAUCAGCAUUGGCAUUGUUCUUGUGCUCUGAAUCUGAACUGAUUCGGCGAACCAACUUUAACCAACCAAGCCAACCACCAAACAGGCUACUGAUGCGAUCUAGGAAUCCAGAUCCAAACAGCAUUGCCAAGGCACUCGACCAUCCGCAACAAAAGCUUGGCGAUUCGAGCACAGUCCAGCCACUGAUGGCGUACACGCGUGAUGCAGCAGCACAGCGCGUACCAGUGGAGCAUAAUGGCCCAGCAGUUGCAACCUUGGCCACAAGGAAGAUGAAGAUGCCUGAGAAUCUUGCAAUGCCCAUCGAUACCACUCAGAAGUCACAGCAGCUCAUGAUUCUCAAUCUUUUGCGGUGAAUUUAAAAAAAGACCGGAACAACUGUAGGCUCUGAAUAAGUUAUCAUCAUCAUCAUGAUCUCAAAUAAGCAAAGCAAUCCGUUUGAGAAAAAAGGGAAAGCAGCAAAGCUUCUCACUCUCAGUAUCUCCUCAGCAUCCUAUAUGUACAUUGCGGCAAGCCAUCUAGAUAAACGCACUCAAGAACUCCAAAUCCACACGCCCGAUCAGCAAAAGUUUUGUUAAAAAAGCCCGUGAAACCAAGAAUUAAUCCCCAAGUAGAAAAAAGGACGUGGCGAAACGUGUGUGUGUCGCGUCCGGGGCAGUCGAUUCUGUCACCGGCACCGGGAGAUGUCGAUCUCGAUGAGGCUGUCCUCCUCCAGCAAGAUCUCGAUCAUCCCGUCCUCCCCCUCGCCCCCACCGCCGAUGACGCCGUCGUCGUCGCUGUCGCCGCCGACGCUGUCCGAGUCGGAGUCGGAGUCGAGGUCGGAAUCGGAGGCCCAGGACAGGCCCAUCUCCUCCGGCCGCCCCCACUCCGCCUCGAACUCCUCGUGGAUCACCUCCAGGGCGCGCCCCUUGGCCACCCACGACGCGAACUCGAGGGCCUCCGCCGGGAACACGAUCUCCCGCUCCGGCGGCGGCGGAGAAGGAGGUGGGGGAGGCGGCUGGAGAGGCGGGUGCGCGGCCUCGUGAAGCUGCUGCUGAGGCAGCUUCUCCUCCGGCUGCGUCGACGUAGGAGGAGGGUUGACGGGAGCGGGGGACGCCGGCGGCGCGGAGCCGAGGCGGAGGAGGGAGAGGAGGAGGAGCAGGGAGGAUAGCGAGGCGGGGGAGAGCACGAACAGCAGCAGCGGCCGGGGGAGGUAGAGCACGGCGAGGAGGGAUGCCGCGGCGGCGGCGGCGAGGAGCGGGUGGUGGUGGUGGGGCUGCCGCCGGUCGCCGCCGGCGGGGACCUCUUGCGCCGGCGGCGGCGGGGAAGGUGAGGUGGAGGGGGCGGAAGUGGCCAUUUAUGGCGGGAGGAGUGGAGCGGUUAAAGCGCCGGCACCCCGCCAAGCGCGGCGGUUUUUAUAUAGAAGGGGAAGCGGACAAGCAGAGGAGAUUUGCCGCAAAGCUCCGGCACGGUUUGGCAGAAGAGGGGAGAGGGAGGCAGAUGGAGUGAGUGACCGCGUCGAUGAACUACUGCUACGGCUUGGCAGCUCUUGCAAGUACACGCCAACGGGGGAGAGGACAGUCGGGUAGAAAGUCCAGGGCUCAGAACGUGAACGGCCAAACCGUGCCGCGUUAAAACUGGGAUGACUUUUAAGUGCUACUGCUUGGACAUCGGUAUUUUCUUUGGGUGAUUUUUCGAGCUGUAUAGAACAGCGUACAUUUACGAUUUUACGGUACGCGAAGAAGUGGUAUCGCUUAUUUAGGAAAUAACCAAUUGAAUGGUGUUAUUCCUCUGAUCACGUAUUUAAGCCCACCCAUGUUGAAGUCAAAAGUUCUUUUUAAUUAUGACUAUUAAUAUAUAAAGCGACUAGAAUUAAAUCAUAUUUGACUUGUAACCCUAGACCGUCAGCGUAUAUAAAGCGACCAGGGACACCCCCGAGGGUAACUCCCCUCAACCCAACAAACGUUAACUCUUUGCACCUGCGAUUAGCAAUAUAAUUCAUCAGAACACAGGACAUAGCGUAUUGCUCUUCGGAGGCUCGAACCUGUCUAAACCUUGCGUCCCUAUGUUACCAUUCGAGUUCUUGAUCUUACAAUCUUGCUCAUCUACAAAUCUACCACCUGAAUAACCUCUAGUGGAUUGCCGAUUAGGUUUAGACAAUUAGGUUCACUAACCAAAAAGUACUUUCAUAUAUGCAUUACUCCUUCCAUUUAGGACGUUCUAAUAUUAUUGAUAUCGCUAAAAGUGUUAGAUUGGAGAUGGUAACUUGAUAUCUCGAAGUGUUACUCCUUCCAUAGCUCGAAGUGUUUUAUGGAUUUGAUGUACAAUUCCUAGUUCCAUGGCCAAACAAGUUUUGAUACUUCGAAUUAGUACGGUUGUGGCACAGAUGGUACGAGUUUUACACCGUGAUGGUCUGAUUCUAAUUGUUACAAAAGCUAUGAUAAAAUUUUGGAACCGUAAUUGGCACAAUGGCACAAAUACGUUUCCUUUUUUGAAGGAAAUGGCGGGUGCAAUGCCAUGUCAUUUAAGUAAAAUUAGCAUAAAUGCCCGUGCAUUGCUACGGUUUCUUACCAACUUCCAAGUUGUCAUCCGCUAGCACCUAGUUCGCUUUCUUCACUUUCUAAUCUGGUUUAGAAUGUUUCAUAAUAUUUGUAUACAUCUCUGAUAAUAAUAAACGGACAACUCCUUUGAAUUCUGCAUGGCCUAUUUGAACGGUAGAAUCUCAAUUACAUAUGUAAUGUGUCCUACAUCUAGUUCAAACAUGCAUUAAAACUUCUGAUAAGAUUCAGUACUAAUGCAACUCAUGUCUUAGUUAUUAUGAACAUAAGAGAUUAUCCACAAAACUUUCAAGCUAUAAAAUGAAAAAAAUUAUAAGGCUAAACUAAAUGCUCAGUCCUUGAUUAUAAUAUACUCAACAAUUCAUGCCUGGUCCUGAUAGCCUGAUAUCCUGUCUAGUUGCUCCAAGAAACAUGAGCAAUCAACAUUAUCCUUCAGCAAUUUGCUCCUCAUAAUACAGUCAACAAUGACCAAAUGUUCUACAGACUCAGCCAAAUCAGCGUUGGAGGAUUCGACAUUUCUUCCCAGUCUUUUUUGCGGGACCCACAUCAGGCUGGCAAUCCAUGGCAACCACCGGCCAGCACCUUCCUGCCGCUAAACCCCUAGCAUCGCAUGGCCGCCGCACGACGGGGCGGGAAGAGGAGGGGCCGCCGCCCCUCAAGCUCACCGUGGCCAUGCCGCAACGACUUCGUCCAACCUCCCAACGCUGCUCCUCGAGCUCACCGUUGCCGUGGUGCCGCCCGCCUGAACCUUGUCCCCGACCUCUGCCGCCCCUCAAGCUCCCACUACGGCCCGUGCGUCUACAGUGCUGCCGUCAGCACGAGCUUCCCGCUGCAGCCCGCGCGUUUUGGUGCCGCGGCUCGCAGUCGUCACCGCUGGUGUUGGCCAUGGUGAACAUGACCGGGUUGACGGCAAAGAACAACACAAAUUGGGCUUCCUAAUGCCGAGCGUGAGCUCCCUGCAACCCAAACCGAGCUUCAAACACAAAGCUCGAACUCGUCGCUUCCCAAAUCGAUCUUUCGGAUGCCAAGCUUGAGCUUCCCGCUGCCUACGAGGAUGGACUAGAAGGGUGCGACUGCCGCCGCCCGCGGCGUCAGCGCGGGAAGAGGAAGGGGCAACCUCCCUUGACACUUGCACUCUACAGUCAUCGCGGCCAUGGCCUUGCGCCAUAGAUUUCUUGUAUCCCACGUCAGUAAGUUGAGGGAGGGGGAAUCGUCGCCAGUGCUUUUAGCCACCGUCACCUGCAGCGAUUUGCACCGGAAGCAAAGGUGUUGUCAGAAAGAGAAGGGGUAGGCUCGCCACCUGCUAGUUUUGCUUGGCUUGGGCUCACGAAGGGAGUGCGGGACGGAGAAAGAAAGAAGACGAUGAGAGAGAGAAAACGAAUUACGCCGGUUUAACUUCCAGAACUGCGGGUUUAUUAUGAAAAAAUUGAAGGAUUUUUUUGCAAAAUAACCACGACGGUUGAAAGAAACCGUACUUUAAUAUUAAGUAUAGAUAUAGAUAUAAGAAAAAUAAGUCUUGAAUAGAUUUGAUUACAUAAAUAAUAGUUAUAGUAGGAUUUUUUUUCUGUUUUUCUUGUGCCAUGUGUGCCCGUAGCAUUUCCGUCUCCACUGCCAAGAUCCAGGAAGACCUGUGCCGGUCAAACCGGCGUGGCCUUGUGCUGCGACCUCUUGGCAGCAGCGCAGUGAUGAAUGAUGAUGGCCGCCGCGCACACAGAACCGCAGGAAACGGCGCACCGGCACGGCUGGGCCGGUGGCUCUCCCUCGGUUCGGGCAGGCGAAACAAAGAAGUGGAAUACGGCGAUUCGAAACCAGACCAUCCGGGCAACCGGGGAGGCAGAGCCGCAGAGGCAAAGGCGGGCAAAAGCAGCGGCAUCCUCUGCUGCCUGCCGAUUGCCGGGGCGCCGAGACCAACAAAGCUGGCAAGCCAAAGCGGCAAAGCGUCCUCUGGCACGGCUCUCACUAGCGCAUGCGGCGUAGCAGCACGUAGUCACAGUGUCACAGUCGGAUACCUGCUCGCCGCCGGCAGGACGAGUUGCUGUCACCGCCACGUACCGCAAAACUCGCAAUCCUCUGCGCUGCCGUGCCACGGGAAAGCGCCCGGAGCAGUGGCAGGAUCGCUUGCACUCCAAGGCUUUGCCAGGAGGGACGCGGGGGACGGACGGCCUACAACGGAGGCAUGUUCUGAUCUUCGGGUUGGUUGCGCUGGGCUGGGGCAUGGUGCGGGGACUGUCCUGCCCGCGCCAGGUUACUUUUCCUCAACCGAUGCUUAGCUUCUUGGUUCUCGAAGAUGAGAGAUUUCCUGAACGGAGUUGGGGGGAUUCUUUGAGGAGUUUUUAGUUUCCGAAGCCCGGAUCGGAGAAAACGAAAUUCGAGAGAUCCUACGUUGUACUAGUCGUACCUGGUCCUAGGUUUCUGCCCUUCUGUCGUACACGUCCCUAGGCCAAAGUUGCAGUGCCAUACGAUGCGAUGCCGGAGCCCCAGAGAUCUGAGUUCUGAGUUCUGAGCGAAUGUCUCGGUAUGAUGUACUACAGUACUAGGAGGUACUCCGUAGGAGCAAAGCAGCCGGUACGUCGCUCUCGUGCAAGAAGGAACAGGCGGCUAGCACUGUGUGAUGUUGAUGGCGAUCGGGAUCCAAACAAACUGAAGCCGUCGCGUGUACUGCGUAGUGACGUUACCAGAUCACCACACUAUAUGAAGUACGAGCUCAUGAUCUGCCGACAUUUCUAGCUGGGACUCGCUGAACAACCACGGAGGGCGCACCGCGUAGUCCCAAGUCCCAACCCGGAACCUCCCAAGCAGCCCCCUGCAUAUGAAUGCGCAUGUUCAUACUUGCUACUGAUAAAAUUUUACUUCUGCAGCGACCACACAAGCUGCUGCCCGGCUGCCCCCCGUGAAAAAAACGUGACCCAUACAAAAUUGGGGGGUCCAACUCGCAAAAUCUAACCAACACGAGUGGCUUUUCAACGUUAUGAUAUGAUAAUCUUCAACAGUUCAACGUGCAAUCGGUGACGCCUUUUGCGUCCAAGAAAGGAGGAAUCUGGCUUAUUUUUUAAAAGAAAAAAAAAUUCUGCGGGCAUGGUUGGAGUCCGAUUGUCCAAAGAUAUGAACACGCUUUUGCAGGACGUCCUGCACCUAGAGAUUGCAAUCUGUCCCUUGUUCAUUUGAUGAUGCCGGUUGCCGGGGGCAGGGGAUUUCCCAUCCGCACGUGAACUGAUGGGCGAGGGCGCUAGGCUUCGGUGCGUCCGGGUCAAAAAGGUGCCAAGGGGGAAGCACAGCCCCUCCGUAACUGAUGAAGAGUACUGCGACGAUCCACUGUAAAAACUCCACUUUGAUUCAGUACCAAGUUAACCGGCCAACGGUGAGGUUGGAGUAGAAUAGUACUGAGCGUGAAGGUUAACCGGCCAACGGCAAAGAACGAGCCGUAGGUACGGGAAGUUGCUGAUGGAGUAGAGUACUUGCUAGAGCAACUGUAACUGAAGCUCGUCGAUCGAUCAAGUUGCUGAUGAAAAAGUGUACAGCCAAGGAUGCUGGAACAUUGCAUCUCGCAUGCAUGAGCAGCUAGGUUUCUCCAGCCAAGUACUACAGCAAACAAGUGUGAUGAAUCAGAAAUGAUUUCGGCAGCUCAACUUGCAGGUUUAAAUGAUUUCUAGUGACAGGCAGGCCAUGAAUCAGAAAAGACCGUAAAAUGCAGAACGAGUCUGAUGCUUCAACAGUAUGCCAGCGUUAAAAGUGUGGAACACGUGAAGGUUUACUCUAUCUGCAGUUCCGCACAGGCCAAAUACUCCGGCUGACCGGCAGCACCUGCCAUGUUUUGUUGUUUAUGAUGAAGAGUUUUGAGCCUUGCUUAGUUGCCAAAAUUGGGAGUGCCAAAAUUACUGUGACGGCACUGUAGCACACUGUAGCGUUUCGUUUGUAUUUGUGAAUUAUUGUCCAAACAUUGACUAAUUAGGCUCAAAAGAUUCAUCUCGCAAAGUACAACAAAACUGUGCAAUUAGUUUUUAAUUUCAUCUACAUUUAGUACUCCAUGCAUGUACCGCAAGUUUGAUAUGAUGUGGAAUCUUCUUUUUGCAUAGUGGCAAAGUUGGGAGUUAGGGGUGAAGUAAACAAGGGCUUGAACGCCAAACAAAUAUUUAUGACAAAAGCUCGACAGCCCCCAAGAAAAAAAGGGAGAUACUCAUACUACUGUAGUACUCAGCGUGAGCUCGUCAGUGACGGAAAAGAGAGACAGGGAGAGACCCGGCCGGGAUGGGACCGCGCAGGUGUUGGACCGCCGGGCGUUCUGCGAUCAACCGACGCCGGCUGCCGCGCUGCUGGCUUACUUUUUUGGCGCGCCAGCCACCGGCACCGUGGCCCGAUCCGGCCGGCGGGCCAAUAAUUCGUUGGUUCGGCGCGACGGCCGUCGUCAGGGAUCGACCACCCCCGGCCGGGUCCCCUCCGCCCACUACACGUGCCGCGGUGCCGGCCCGCGGCGACCAGUGCCGCUGCCGGCUGCUCCACGGCUGGCAGCCACGGAGGCGCGGAAGCUGGCACAGCUGCGUGAGGCGGCGCGCGUCCUGUCGCCGGCGUAAACGCGUGGGACGGCCAGGCCAAGCCUCUUGUGUCUUUCUGGGGCGGCUGCACCUGCCCUGCCGGUGAAGUGCUGUAGCAAUUGCGCGGCCAUUGCCGUGGUGGCACCGCUAGUAAAAGCGCCGUGCUCCACGCUUGGGUCCGGGCGGCUCAAAUGAUUGCACGAGCAACUGCUGAUCGAUUACAUUUGCCAGUUGCCAGCGAUCUCGUUUCCUUCCGGGUUCCAGGAACCAUCAAUGUGGACUGUGGAAUGGCGUCAAGAAGGUGGCACUGUGCUGCCUACCAUAAUACCAUUGCAUCUGCACAGUGCACUUGCACCGGGUUGGGGAGCUGCACUGCUUUUACGGAUUAGAGUAUGUUUGGGGUCGUUUUACACCGGAUGGUGGCUGCGUACUAGCGACAGCAAAUGGGUGUAAAAGAAUCGCAAAUGUUCAAACCAUAAUAAAAUCACGCUAGCGAACUAGUAGCCUCAUUCAGAACUCUGGAUUUUGGCCCAUGCUGUAGUGGGCGAGAGCCGAAAGCCACACCACCAACUCCAACAAACCGAACGAAAGAAAAAUCUGGACAGGCAGACUGCAGCUCUGAAGAAACAACACCACUGAUGCCGCACGCAGUUCUUCAGAGUUCAGAGAUAGUGCAAUCUCUGUGCACGCAUGAUUCACACAAUUGCAACAGAUAACACCAUCCAUAUUGAAGCAAAUAAAAGAGUUUAUCUUCUCGUGCACACUAGCAUACGGAGAUCAUACACUUACAGCAUACACAAAAGAGAAGAGAGAUCUCACAUAACUUUUACAAGGUACUUCUACAAAAAAAAAAAAAGAUAAAAACAUCGUCUGUGUUCUUCAAUCACAGCAUUGAAGAAACUCUCUCUAUAUAUAAGCUAGUACUAGUAACUCAUAUGAGUAUACUACUUACCACUACCUAAAAGUUUCUCUAUGACGUGGGCUACAAAAAGCACUGAACUUUGCAGCCUGACACUACUAGAUACACUGGCAAGCUGAAGUGGAAACUGAAAGCCUGUGAUGUCAUAUAUUUACAUCUAGACCUCGGAGAGCAAGGUUUCGAAUGACGCCGACAGGUUGAUGGCGAUGCUAUCCAGGUUCUUGUUCCGGAGGCGCGACCUUGCAACCCUGCGUUGCAUGGGCGCCCCGGGGCCAUCUUCAUCCUCGCCGUCCUCGUCGCCUCUAAAACCGGCCUUCGAGGACGGCGUCGCAAACUUGAAAUGCAGCUCUCGAGCAACAACUGUCUGCAAAGAAGGAAUUGAACAAGGCGAUGUUAGCCAACAAAGUGGACAAGAAACACAAUUUGGAAUCUGGAAUUAGGUGGUAGGGGUUCGAAGUGCGUACUGCUUCGUUGACUGGUUUCGACACGAGGAAGAGCUGCCUCAGAUCACUGUGGUUCACCUUGCACAAGACUUUAAUCUGCAAAAUCAGAAUUAAAUUGGGAUAAGCAAGGCAUACAGGACUGAAUCAGAAUGCGAGUAAUAAAAGAAAACAGAUCAGUGACAAGCAAUUACCAGGACGUCUUGAGGCAGCGAUUCAAGAAGGCUGACGGCGUCAUCCAUGUGGAACCGGACGCUGCGCUGCUUGCGCAGGGUGCGGACCGGAGAGUGAGGGCUCCUGGGGCCCGGAGUCGGUGACACGGCCACCCUCUUCCUCCCCAGGAUUCUCGUGCUGCUCCUGCAGUUCGAGAAGCUCAAGCUCGUGGCAAGAGACCCCUUCUUCGCGUCGCCCUGUCCAAUUGCCAUUUCCCCCCUUUGCCUGUUAAACCCUACUGCCCUUGGUCUUUGGUGAUAAAAAGAUCACUUAUCCAAUCGGAGAUCUCGUAAGGAAGAAUAUCUGCACGGGAUUAUGGAGAUAAGAAUCAUCAAGCUGAAAGAAAAAGAUUGGCGAAUUUCCUUUUAAAGACGAACCGAUUCCCUUCCAAAAUUUUAGAUCGGAAAUCCCGCGGGAGCUCUCGUUCAGCGAAAAAUCCCCGAUUCAAAUUGUCCCCAGCCACAAACCAAAACUACAGUCGAACACCACUAAGGCUCAGGCAACAGACCAGCCGCAAAAGCGAAACAGGAGCCGUUGCAUCAAACGCAAUCUAGAAAAGGCAGCAUGAUCACAAACCAAUCAGCUCUAAUCCAAUCCCCCGGCAGCGAAAGCUAGAAAAAGGCAGCAAAUCACAAUCCAAUCACCUCUAAUCCAAUCCUCCUCAGCGCAAGGAUGACAUACCACGCGAAACAGAACAAAGAAACAGAGGGCAGGAACACACUGCCAGAGCAAAGCCCGACGAGGAAGAAGAGACAAACAAGCACCGAAUCGAAACAGGAAUUCGAGAUCGGAGGAAGAGAUUACCUCUAGUUUCGCUCUCAAUCUCAAACUCCUCCUGCUCCCGAUAAUCGCACAACAACCUGUGGAUGUCUUCCCCUACUGCUAAGCAACCUAACCUGCGGCGAAUGCUGGAGGACCAGACCUGCGAGGUAAAUUUGGAAACAGCUGACCUCCCCCUUCCCCGGUUUUAUAGGAGGCCCCUCUAUUUGCUCCUACCCGGGGGAACCUGCCUACGAAGUAGAGAAAUCCUCCGCGCGGGGGCCUUUCUAGAAAAUUACGGCAACCACCAGAAUCCAAUGCUGCUUCGUGCGCAAGAUCUUUUUCACCUCCCGCGCCCACCCGCUAAUCCACGCUGCGCCGCUCACUGACACACGGGACCGGAUAAACAGGGUCCUACACGUCGGUCGAUGUGGGUCGGUGGAGGCGGCCGUGGAGGAGCGCGUGAUUUACGGGGUUACUUUUUUGAAAUCGAGGCGGGUUGGCGCUCAACCCGCGUGUGGUGCGGAGCGCGUGGGAUCGGACGGCGCGGGCUGGUGGUGGACGGGCUACGUGGCGCGAUCGCGUGGGUCUGGAACUAGCCGUUGGGGGGCGGGGGGUGGUGGGACGUGGCCCGGCGGCGGUGGGAGUGGGGACGGGGUUGGUGACGUGGUGGCUGACCGGCCGAGAUUGGAUCGCCACGCGAAAAAGAAACGACGGCCACGCGAGUAAGUCGGUGGAGGUCGGUCCGUCGCCGCCCACCGUCUGGUUUCUCGCCGCGUGGAUGUCGUGUCAAGCCCCUUGUUCUCCGGCGGUUUAAAAAUGUAGUUUGGGGACAGCUAGCGAGCGCGGCGCGGUAAUCCGGUAACAAAACGGCGGCCAAAGCGCGGCGCGGCAGAUGGCGUUGGAUUGGGACGCAAGUAUCCUCUGUCCACUGCUCGCUCAGCUGAGAAAUUUUAAUGUAUUUAAUUAAAAAAAAUUACUGUGCGCAUCCAUUUGCUUAAUGAGGAACUUCGCUGCGCGCGUCGUCUAUCCACCUGUUCGAUUAAUUAACGAGAGGGCUGGUGCGUUUAAUUCGAUUACGGCUGCCUGUAUAUAAGAAAAAAACGAUAAUCACUUGGUUGGUGGAAAAAGAGUGCGUUCCGAAAGAAACUGUGCUUCUGGAGUGUGUUCACGUUUACCUAGUUUUGAGACGCUGGUGCGGUUGAGUCAAACGAUUUGACCACGUCCGCGUUAGUGCGUUACCAACACGAGUCAAAGACAGAGCGAGGACGGCGUCAAAGGGCAACUAGCCGGCCGGCCGGCCGAGUGGUGGGGGUGGGGCGCACCUCCCACCUUCUUCGUAGGGCGGCUCUGUUCCAGCUCUUCCUCAACCAAUCCCCGUUUGGUUUCGUCUUGCACGCAGCGACUGGACCACACGUAGCGCCUCCCGCAGUGUCGCUCUAGGGCCGGCGCUGCCGUUACGCGCAGCCCAAGAAGCGACCAUCGGCUAUUCGGCUGUGCACCCACCAAAAAAAAAAUCGGGACGGGUCCGUGGGACUGUGGGAGAGCGUGCGCGAAAAAUCGCGAAGGCCACAGGAAGCAGCCCGCGUGCGCCGGCGCUGCCGCUGCCGCUGUGCGGCGCCGCGCCACGCCUCCGCGCUGCGAGCGCAUCGGCAUCGGGGACGCGUCCCAGCUGCGAGGAGGGGAUGUCGGGGAGCACGUCGUCCGGUAGCGCCGCCGCUACUACCGUCUCGAUGGACGCGCGCCCCGCGCGCGGCCUGGAGCCCUCCUGCAUCACCCCGGAAACAGCUCACGUGUUCCAGCACGAGCCCAGCCCAGCCACGUCCAUAUUUUUUUUUCCCGUAGUUGACUAGGCCUUUGCAAUUCCCAUGGCCUGAAGGGCCGAGACGACGUCCGUGUAAGCCCAUGUUGGCGGAGGUGUUGAUGGGCCGUAUAUAUACACGUUGAAAUCAAAAUUUAUUGGCUGUCAAAUCAUCUCAUCUGAACAGCCUUUGUGCGCUUGCUUUGCUCUCGUUCUGCGUGCAUGCAUGUCGACCAAGGAAAUUUUCGCUUCCGACUGACUAGGACAGCUAGAGAACCAUGGAGGGUUGCAGGAUCUGGACGCAAAUCGUGCUAUCCUCUAUUUGUAGCGUCACUGUACACUGUACAGGACAGUCCCCGAAUUCUCGAGCGAAACGGCCAUGCAUGUGCCCCUGGUACAGCGCCGGUUGCCGCCACGGCAUCGUAUUAACACCGCUUCAGUUCUUUGCUUCGAUUUUUCCUGUCCGGGGCCGCCAGGCGUGCUGAGUCAGGAGAGCAACCACCGCGCGAGCCGAGCAAACGGACAAACGAGCACUCGGAAAGCGGCCCGGCGCCGGUCAGAAGCAGACGAUUCUGUGCAAUUCCCUCCGUCUCCAGGAGUCCAGGGUAGCUGGAUAGGCCGGAUUGGCGAGACACACGACGCGGUGGGCAGGGGUGUGUGUGUGUGCGCGCGCGCCCCCCUCGUCGAAGGCCCCGUACACCGGGAUCACCGGGGGCUGAUGCCGCUGGAUGGCGAUAAGACGAGCAGCCGGCGAUGUUUGCUUCGGGUUCGAGUCAUGGCCAUUGCCCAAUCAUACUGCGAUAGGGUGCACGUACACGCGCAGGUUGAUCUGAUAAGGUAAACAUAAGAGUUGAGACAGGAAUCCAGGAGAGAGACGCUGCGGUCCUUUCGACGGGUCCCGUCGAAACUACAGUCGACAGACAGAGGUAAGGUCAUCCACAACAGUCCUAGCUAAUUGCUAGUCAGCACUAAAUAGCUAGCAGUCCAUGCAACUAUCUAUAUAGUGCUAGCUAUUUGUUAUUUUUAGUACUUUCAUGCACAGAGAGAGAAUGGAUGUGCUAGCGAUUUGGCGCAUCGUCGCGCAUGCGAGCUGAGCAACAAGCAAGUCGCCGGCUCAAAUAUUUUUACAUAUUCUCUUUCCUUCACAUAAGAUACAUGCUAAACUGUACACUCAAAUAGCUAACUGACUCAGCACCAUUACGGACGCCCUAAGAGCACAAGGCCCGCUGCUAGCCACAGGAAGCAGCCUCUGGGCUCUGUGGUCUGCGGCGCAUGGUGCCAUGUCAGCCAUGAUCACAUUCCAGCCGCGGCCAAUGAUCCUCCCGCGAUUUUCUAAUGCCAAUUAUAGAGAUCAGGCCUCGGAGCGCCGUACCCGUACCCGCUGCUUGCCGAGCCGGGCCCCGCCCGGCCGCCGCGACUCACGUCCGCGUCAGCGUCAUCCGCCAACGCGGCUGCGGCCGGCGCUCGCGUGGGAUAUUCCUCGGCGCGUCGGCCCGGCGCGGAUGCAUCCACCACCCGAGCUGGCCCCCCGCCCCGGCGGCGCGCCGAAACAAGAGCUGAGCCGGUAGCUCGCGUGUAGCCAAUCGGCGGGCGCCUCUGGCUUCAGGGAAGGGGGAGGGAAGCAAGAAGGGAGGGACCGUGCAUGUUGGCUGAGUUGGAGCUGACGCGCGCCGGUUGAUCUCGUCUCGUGAUCGCGUCCGGGGGAUCCGACAGGAUCCACGGCGCGGGCAUACGGAUAGAUGCGGGUACGUGACAGGCGGCAGAAAACCGGCGAGGGACGGAGGCAGCGGCAGCCGCUGGUUGGCUAGCUAGGCUGGUGUGAUGCGGUCGUCGUGCCGUGCGCAUCUGCCAUUGGGAUCGAUCGAGGCUUCCACGAACCAAGAACGUAUCCUGCGGUACCCGCGCUCCAUGUGCGUGCACGGCGCGACGUUUCCUUCCUUUUUUUUUUUGCCCAACUACUUGCCGGUAGACAACUUAUACUUACAAUGAUCAAGCUAAGUAGCAGUGCAAUUUUUCACAACCACCGAUUCUACAAUGAUCAAACGUUAUGUAUUCUCGAUCGACCACCGAUUUAUAUAUACAACGAUCAACUAUAAGUAUUUCCUCCGUAUCAAAUUAUAGGUUAUUUUUUAUCUCUAAUUUCAUAGUAUUUAUUUUAUACACCUAGAUAUAUAUUAUAUCUGGAUACAUAAGUAAAAGUAAUGAAUCUAGAAAUAUUAAAAUGAUCUACAAUUUGCUGUGAUCAAGCAUAUAUACCGUGUGUGUUACCGUUGAUCAAAGUAUGUGCUACGUAGCUUUCGCAGUGUCGUCCCAAACUAGACGCAAGGAGCGCGACAAGUCCAAAAUCCAGCUAUUCCCCGCCACGCUUCCAUGGAUCUCCGUACCAAUUAUGCAACCUUUUUGGCCCCACAAGGUAGUACACGUCACCGCCAACGAUACGGAGCGCGACUGGUUUAGCUUGCAUGGACCCGUCCCAUUCCAUGUGCCGUGGUGCACUGUUGGCGGUCGUAGCGUGCAGUCCCAGAGGACACAGGCGAGCAUCCACCAGAAGCGCGUCGAGCGGUAAGUGAACGCUAGAUUGGCAGGUAUCAUGCGCUAGCUGUUAGUUGCUGCUGCUGCUGGAUAAUUCUGUAAAAAUUUUUACCUCAUGGAGUAAAGCUGGUCGAUUGACACCUAAAACUGACAGGCUGUUCUUCGUUCAGACGAGAUCUCGAAAGCUAUAGCUAGCCCAGCUAAAACACCCACCCUGAACUUGUGAACUUUCCGUUUUCAAACACACACACCUCUAAAACAACCGUGGAUGGAUUAGCUACCGCAACAAAACAAACGAGGGGUGUUUGAUUCUUUAGUCCAGACUAAAUUUAUGUCACAUCGAAUAUUCAGAUGUUAAUUAGGAAAAUUAAACGUGACCUAAUUAUAAAACUAAUUAAUGGAGGCUAAUUCACGAAACGAAUCUAUUAAGCCUAAUUAAUUCAUCAUUAGCACAUGUUUACGGUAGCACCAUAUUAUCAAAUCAUGAACUAAUUAGGUUUAAUAGAUUCGUCUCGCAAAUUAGUCUCCAUCUGUGCAAUUGGUUUUAUAAUUAAUCUACGUUUAAUACUCCUAAUUAGUAUCAAACAUUCGAUGUGAUAGAAAUUUUAGGAGAUCCUAGAAAACCAAACACCCCCUGAAAUAUCCUGGGCACACCGGCAGAGCUCUGUGAGUCCAGGCCAAUCGAUGAGUCGGCUAGGGGAAUUGCGAGACAAAGCGCACGCAGUUGAUGACCUGGCAAACCGGCACGUGCGCGGCACGCAAUAAAAAAGUCGCAUGAUUAGGCGGAUGAUCUGGCGAUAAGCAUAGAAUAAACAGAGCACUACUGCUAGCGGUCGUCAAUGUUGUUUGCUGGUGAUCACGCAAGUGGGAUUAUAAAAUCAGAGUAAAUUGAUCGCGGCGCUCAUAUUAGAGUAAAUCAGAGUAUGUAGGAAAACACCAGGAUCAUACUCUGAAUCAAAUGGGAGCUGGAUGGACUAGGACAAGUUAAUGCGUAAAGUUUUAAAAUAAAUCCUAAUUACUCUUAAAUAGAUGAUAUUUAUAUAGACGGCCAGUCAAACUUUACAUACCUUCUGAAGACGGAGCAUGAGUCUCGUGUACAUACCACUACUCUAACCUUCUUUUGAAUUCGAAACUUGGGCACAAAUUCAAAUUGAUAGGAACAGGGGGGACAUCAAUUAAGUUCUAUAUAUGCUGUUCUCAAACUUUUUAUAUAUCUUAACGACUAAUGUCAUGCACGCAACAGAUAUUUAAAAACUGUAAUAUGAAAAAUAAAUCGGACGGUUUUCUCGUAGUUAUACUCUUUCACAACUAUAAUUGACAAAGAUGAGUGUUCUUAUGCUUGUAAUUUGUCAGAACGGCUACUAGGUCCGGGGGGCGCAUGUGCUUGUGGUGGUGCGCCGCAAUCUUCAGUUACCAGGACGCGGACCCAUAAAUGAUAAAAACCACUCCAGUGAUCCAGGGGGUUGUGUCCAGGCUGCAGCAACGUACAGACAGAACUGGCAACAGAAGGCGAAAUAGCACAUCCGACCCUGCCAGGUAGGAAAAUCACAGGCCAACACCCCUGAAGAGGCAAGCUGCGACGGCGCUUCCCAUAUAAAUACCCGCCUCCGGCAUCGUCUCCAACCCGCAACUCACGAGCAGCAAAAGAGCACAGGCAAAACCACGCAUACACACACUGCCGUGGCAAUGGCCGCCGACACGGACACCACCGCCCCGCUCCUGACGAGCCACAAGCCGCCCAAGGCGCCCACCAUCGAUGACACCAUCGAGAAUUACAUGGGCACCACCGGCGUGAUGCAGCUGUUCAAGGCCAUCCUGCUGGCAUUCGCCUGGGCCUUCGACGCGCAGCAGGUGUUCAUCUCCGUGUUCACGGACGCCGAACCGCAGUGGCACUGCACCGGAGCCUCGCCGUCCUGCUCGCCGGCGGCGCCCCCGGCCUCGCCGUGCUGGCUCCCGCCGGGCGCGUGGGCGUGGGACCGCCCCGCCGACUCGACGAUGGUCUCGGAGUGGGCGCUCAAGUGCGCCGGCCCGGCGCUCGUGUCGCUCCCGGCGUCGUCCUUCUUCGCCGGCUGCCUGGCCGGCGGGUUCCUGCUCACCACGCUCGCGGACUCGCUCCUGGGGCGCCGGAAGAUGCUGCUCACGUCCCUCGUGUCCAUGUCCGUCGCCGGCGUGCUCACCGCGUUCGCGCCGAACGUGUGGGCGUACGCCGCGCUGCGGUUCGUGUCCGGGUUCGGCCGGUCCAUGGUGGGCACGUGCACGCUGGUCCUGUCCACGGAGCUCGUCGGCAAGCGGUGGCGCGACACGGUGAGCGUGGCCGGCUUCUUCUUCUUCACCGUCGGGUUCCUGUCGCUCCCGGCGCUCGGCUUCGCGUUCCGGGAGGCGUCGUGGCGGAACAUGUACCUGUGGACGUCCGUGCCGUCGCUCUGCUACUCCGUCCUGCUCUACUUCCUCGCCCAGGAGUCGCCGCGGUGGCUGCUGGUGCGCGGGCGUAAGCAGGACGCCAUGGACACGCUGCAGCAGAUCGCGUCGCUCAAUGGCAACAGCAUCACGUCCAGCUUCUCCAUGCUGCACGCGUGCACCAUGCGCGCGGACGGCGGGGACGCCGGCGGCGGCGCCGGUGGCGCGUUCGCCACGAUGCGGGCGUUCUGGGAGCGGCCGUGGGCGCUCCGGAGGCUGGCGGCGAUCAUGACGACCAGCUUCGGCGUCGGCAUGGUCUACUACGGCAUGCCGCUCAACGUCGGCAGCCUGGGAACCAACCUGUACCUGAGCGUCACGUACAACGCGAUGGCCGAGCUGCCGUCGGCCGUCCUGUCGCUGGCAUUCAUCGGCAAGGUCAACCGGCGGACCACGGUGAUCGCGCUCACCGCGGCGGCGGGCGCCUUCAGCCUCAUGUGCGUCGCCAUCCCGGAGGGCUCGGCGGCGCGGAUGGCGUCCGAGCUGCUCUCCUUCUUCGCGACCAUCACGGCGUUCAACCUCAUCCUGAUCUACUCCAUCGAGCUGUUCCCGACGUCCGUGCGCAACUCGGCGGUGGGGCUGGUGCGGCAGGCGCUGGUGCUCGGCGGCGUGGCGGCGCCCGUGCUCGUGGCGCUCGGCCGGGAGCGGAGCUUCUAUUCCUUCGGCGUGUUCGGGCUCUGCAUCGGGUGCUUCGGGCUCUUCGCCGCCUGCCUACCGGAGACGAAGGGCCGGAGCAUGUCGGACACCAUGGAGGAGGAGGAGCACAAGCAGGAGGCCGCCGCAGCCACGUCUUGCACCGGCGGCGCAACCGACAUUGCCACGAAGGAUAACAGCGACGUCGUGUAGUGUGACGACGCUCGUGUUCGUUUCACGACGCGGCAAUAAUUGUUGCUCUGAUGACGAUAUUUCGGCGGCGAGGAUAGCUAGAUCUGCUCUGCAGGUCAAGCACCAAGCUGUCACCCCUGCCCCCGUCCAAUCGUGUAAAGCUUGCCGCCAAGUUGCUUGCAUAUAAAUUCUGUUUCAAAAACUCGUCAAGUCCGCAAGUUGAAGUCUUACCAAAGUAGCGCCCCGGCCCACAUCAUCCUCUCAAGCAGAUCUCGAUCGAUGCCUAUCGGUAGAGCACAUUCAAAUUCUAUCAACAAAUAUAAAGUAUUCUAUCCACACUAGGAGAACCCAAAUUAAUUCUCUAACAAAUACUCCAUUUGAAAUUACUAGUCAUUCCAACUUUUUUGGAAAGUCAAAACGUCUGAUCAAAUUCAUGCAAUAAAGUACUAAUAUUUAUGAUAUCAGAUAAGUACAAUUAAUUUUUUCAUUAAAUAUAUUCUCAUCGUAUAUAUUUAUUCGGUGACAUAAAUCUUGGUGACCCUCUCUAUAAUUUUAUUCUUUCCAAAAAAAGUUAGAAUGAUUUAUAAUUUUGAACGGAGGGAGUAUAAGGUAAGAAAUCUCAUUAAUCGUCCAGCAAACAUAUCGCUUGACUUGCAAACUUAUCGCAAAUUAAUAGUACUCCAAACCUAUCUAGCAAUCGCUUGACUUGCACCAACCAAACCUAUCUAGCAGCUUUAAUGAGGGCUACACGCGUCUUCUAUCUGGCUUAAACUUUUCAUCCGUGAACGGAGAGAGUAGAUCGACAAAGUCAAUAUAAAACUUCCACAUGAAGUUGCAGCUUUUAUAGAAACUGUAAAAUUGACAUAAUCUUUUAUAGAAACUUCCACAUGGGACCCAGGCCUUAUUUGUCCUCUACCUUAACAUUCUCUAGGAGCAGCAUGGUUUGCUUAAGGAUUAGGCACCCUACUAAAACGACUCUGCCCCUGCCAUUUCCUAGGCUUCCUUGGUUGCGGCACUUUCGUUUUUCGUUGCUCACCUUGGCACUUUUCCUUCCUGCUGCACUUAUUCGACGCCGUUGAGCCCACGCCGCUACCUAUGCCUUCUCCCUUAACUCCGACGAGUUUCUUCUCUGCGACCGUACUGUAGUCCGAUCUGUAUUCCUCAUCUUUGGAGGCUCGUUGUCACCGCCGGAUCCAUUGCUACAUUAACCCAUGCAUCUCCGACAGGUUGCUUCUUUGCCUCUCAGAGAAUUUUUUUUUGAUAAAGUCCUCUCAGAGAAUGUUAGAGGUCUCCACAACACUUGAAUGUCUUUUUAUUUAGUUUUUCCAAUUUUCUUGAAGUGCCAUGCCAAAAAAAAAUCACGAGUGACCCAGCACGUUAGGUUCGUCAUGGGACAGUAGAAAGAGAAACACGAGUGCAAAAGGGUAGUAGACUUCAAGAUCUAGAGGCUCCCCUCAGGGCCGGGAGAGAUAAUAGGCUCCCCCCAGGGCCGGGAGACAGCAAAAGGGUGUGAAUCAAUGCAAGUUUGUCCAUCCUACGCGGCUUCGCUAGAUGGGUACGAUCGGAUGAGCCAAAUAAAGCCAGAACUAUUUCUCCCAUUAGGGCAUUAUAGUCAUUUUGCAUGCAUGGUUUGAAUUUAAGUAAAUCAGCAAGCUAAAUAGUAUACCCAGAUGGCGGCAGUAGUUAGGAUAUGAUAUUUAUGAACUAGGUGGCAGUUACUUAUGCAUUUCGAAAUGAACGACGACUUUCAAGCAGGCCCUGGAUCAAUUCAGACUUGGUUUUGUAUUCAAAUUAUUUGAACUUUUUUUUCCUUUUCUACAUAUACAGCCCCUUUUUCGUGGUUUCAUUUUGAACUAUCUUCAUGGAUUAUUAUAUUGUCACGCAGUCAAGACUUGUGGUUUGCACUUUUACCUUUUAUAUGGCCCCACCAGUUUUCCUCUUCCGAAUGAGCUUAAGAACCUCAUAUCUUUGGACCAGUGUCCACGCGGACCACAUCACGGAGAGUAAGAGACUGCUUGAGUCUGAGAGGUACACAACGGUUGAAGGGGGUGUCAUUGGUCUCUAAUGCUCUCAGCUGUCAUCUAGUAUACAUGGAGCUGUCCCCGCGUUAUUUUAUGCUGCGGCUGACUCAGUGGUGACCGGUGAUGCCAAAGAAGUCGGUCGGGAUCCCCAAUGCCAAAGGAAUCGGUCGAGAAGCACAUUUCAAUCUGUUAUGGAUCAGCACAACAGCUCGCAUGACGAUGCUGCUGGCCCAACAGUACAAUAGGAAUGCGUGAUUAGCAUUCUAGCUAGUGCUAACUAGCCUAUCAUGCUUUAGCAGGUGCCCGGAACAUGGUGCUCUGCUCAUACAUGAUGCUUGUGCCGUGUGGUGGCAUUUUGCCAAAGUUCACAAUCGCAUCCUUUCUCCUGUGUUGCCAUGGUACCAUGUGGGUGUACAGGUGCUUGUGCCAUGAGGCAUCCGUCCCUUGACUUUUUCGCAUUGCAUUCAGCGUAUUUCUUCAGGCUUGCUUGCAAAGAAAAUACCUCGUCAGGGUGGUUUAUUUUUGCGGUGACGGUGAUCAAAUAAAGUUGUGUCGUAGAGAUCGGAAAAACCAGAAACAAGUACGAAAGGACAGAGGAGUUAGAUCAUCUUUUGGGCAAGAUGUACCCAAGAGGAAGCCGUCACAAGCCUACACCGCUUGUUUGGAGGAUAGAGCAUGUGAGGUUGUGGCCGUCGCUAUGCAAGAGAGAAGAAUGAAGAAUCGCCUACGUUUGUUGUCAUCAUUAGAAUUUUCAUAGCAAAUAGCCUCGUAUAUGGAAUAUAGCACUAAAGCUUAUUAGCGUUUAUUUCACAAGAAAUGACAUUUUUCUUCAAUCUCCUUUUUUCCGGCAAUAUCUAAAAUCUUAGAUGGUAUAGCAUCGGACGACUUAUAAUACAACGGCAUGCAAACCAUGGAUACUAGUAGACUAGCUGUCUAGCUAGGCAGGAACUUUGGACUCGGUUGUACUACCGACAUAUAUGCAUGACGAGCAUCAAGGUACCACAGCAGAUCUGGGAGUACAAUCAUGCACGCAUAAUAUCUCGAUGACGUGUGAUUGUGUGAAUGAUUAAACAAACCAUGAAGUGACAAAAACUGGUAGCCGCUUUUUGGGUCAGGGAUGACACAGCCUUCCAGAUCGACUGGGACCCUCCGCUGCCCUCUAUUCUGUCGCAUUGUCCGGACUGACCCUGUCUUGCGAACCCUGGCGUCGUCUGCCAUCCCAUCAAACGCACUACUGCCCUGUACAACUAUACGACCUGCACGAUCAGGUUUGGGCGUCCUGCGUCGCAACUUUUGUUCAGAAGCGUCGCUUAGCACACGGUCUCGCCGUCGCGGACGGUGCUGCCGGUCGGGCCGGGGCGCCAUUGUCAGCGGCGCGCGCACUUCGUUGCUCGGUCGAUCACGCGCCUGCAGUUUUGAUCGGUUCCAAGAGUUUUUCUUCUGAAGUCAAGAGUCGCUUUAUUCCACCACAAGUUAGCUUGAUCGCGAACUACCAAGCUAGCUAGUUACAGUGAUCAUGAGCACAAAAUUACAAGAGCAUGGAGCUCACCAAAUAUCAAACGAGGAAAAAAAAACAGGUAUAGAGCAGGUCCCAGACUUCUCUGAAGAAGAUUACUCCUGCUGGGCCUCGAUCAAGCCUGUUGGAUUUCAGUGCAUCCACCAGCGCAUUUGGGGAGGUUCCCAGAAACUCAGAGAGGGCGAUGUACAUGGGCCUGGGUUGAGUCAGCUUUCAGAUUACUCCAGUUGUGUUGCUCAUGGCUUGGGUUCCGAGCCAGGCAGCCAGCGUUCUUCGCCUCCCCGUUUGCGACGUUGUGUUCAACGGCGGCCCCCUACACGGGACCCACUUCACAGUAAAAAAAAAACUGAACUCCCAGCGACCCUCGCGCGAACAGAAGGAAAAAUUCGCACGGUGCGAGCCGCGCCACUGCCGGCCGGUGCCAUGGACGUUGCGGCGUCGACGUGGAGGGCUGCGCAAGUCCGGCGAGAGGUGAAAGGCGGAGCACAUUGGGGGAGAGCGCACCGCACCGAGCUGCGGCCGCCUCAUCGGAGCCGCCCUAAGGAUAGCCUUCCGCGCCGAGCCGUUGGAGCCGUCCUGGAUAUGACCUCCCACGCCAAGUCGCAGCUCCGCCUCGUCGGCCUUCAGGCGAGCAUCUGCCUCGACCUGUACAUCGAUCAUGUCAUGUGAUCAGCAACAGCCGAAGGUAAAUUAUCCGGAUCAUAAGAAAUUAAAAGUACAACAGCAGGAGCAUUCUUACCUCGGAACCUUCCCUUCGUAAAUUUGGAAUAAGGACAAUACCUCGCACAAGCAUCGCUUUCAGGAUUAGGAUUAUGGUAGUGAAAAAAAAAGGUGGAUGUAUUUUCUUUAACCAAUCGUUACUGUCUUAUCAAACGUCAUUUUCAAAUUGUUUGCACUGUUGUGUUCCUUAUAAUGAGAUAUACGAAAUAAGAUCCACAUUCUGUAUAACAACUCAUGUAUGAAACUAUACACACUAAGAGAUAAUUUUUAUAGAUACAUUGUAAUAGCUUAUGUGUAAGCAAUGUAUCAAGCUUAUAUAGAGAUUAUUAUAUAGCAACUUAUAUUAUUUCUACUUGUCGAGUAAUAAAUUUAUGUACAGAUAAAUGUACAAAGGACUAUAACAACUUGUUUGCAAGCAAUAUAGCACCUUAUGCAGUAUGUAUGGUAUUAACUUAUAUAAUGACGAUGUGGCAACUUACAUAGACUCUUCAGAUAACUAAGCAACAUGAGUGUAAAAUCUGUUUUUAGCAAUUUAUGUACAUAAUUUGUUAAGAGGUUUACACAUAAGUCGCUAUAUACUUAUCCAUAGGUAAAUAAUAUACAUUCGAUAUAAAUUACAAGUACAUAAAAAAUA
rnacentral:lncRNA from 1 species